ACACUCGGUGUAUCUAAUACCACCCCUGUGGUUUCGCACUUUUUCACUUUAGUGCCUCGUGAUUUAAAGUGCAUCAAGCUAGUGCCUUGUGAUUCUAUUUUUAUCUUUUCAUCAGCUUCUCCGUUAAUAUUUCGUUAAAUUAUAUACAAAAAACUUCAGAUACCCUAUCUAGGUUUAUCGAAUAUUUAUUUUAGGAAUUAGGCUACUAUACUAUCUAUAGUACCGAGCUCCGGUACUAUAGUGUUUGUUUUCGAUCUUAGGGCGUUCAAAUCAACGAUCCACACCGUUAAAUAUGAUCUAGGGUAUAUGAAUUUCUUAGGAAUAAAUUUUUAGUUUUUUUCGAUAUCGUUUAACUUAGUAAAUAAAUUAUAUUAAAAUGGACGGUGGAAAUUGAAUAAUUUUUAAAAUUUGAGCAAAGGACUUUUAAAUUCAAGAUCAAGAAUGUUAACCUCAAUCUAUAUAGUUUAAAGUAUUUUCUAUCAAAAUUUGAAGAAAUUUAGAUUCUUCUACACCGUUAAACUCCAAACUCGUCAUAAUAGCCAUUGAAAAUUGACAAUUUUGAAAUAGUUUGAUCAUAAAGUAAACUAUGUCGGAAAAAUAUAAAAUUUUAUUUCUAGAAACUUUAAAUACCCUAGAUCAGUUUUAACUGUGUGGAUCGUUGAUUUGAACGCCCUAAGAUCGAAAACCAAUACUAUAGUACCGGAGCUCGGUACUAUAGAUAGUAUAGUAGCCUAGCUCAUUAUUUUAGUAUCUUUUAGUUUUAACUUUGUCACUGAUUUAAUGAAAAAAAAUUAGUGAAAUAGAUAAUAAAAAGAUAAAAAUGAAACCACAUGACACUAAAUUGAUACACUUUAAACCACAGGGUAUUUAAAGUGAGAAAGUGUGAAACUACAGGGAUGGUAUUUGAAGUUUUUUCAAAAAAUAAUUAUGCGUUCAAAACUUACUGGUUAACAAAUUAUCACUUCAUUUUUACCGACCGUGCACACACUUUUUUUCCUUUCUCUCUCUCUCUCUCUCUCUCUCUCUCUCUCUCUCUCUCUCUUACUCCGUAUCGUUGUUGACAUGUCGAGGCUGUGCACUGUUGUCAUUAUAAUGUCACCCUUAAGUUCCAUCGAAUUACUACUACUGUUGCCGUCGAUAAUUUUUAGCCAUAAAUAGAAUCAUCUUUAUGAAGUAUUUUCGCAAGAUUUAUAAAACUUAUAUAUAAUAAAAAAAUAAAAAUAAAACCACAGUACAUUAUAUUGAUACGCUUUAAACCACAGGGUACUAAAGUGAAAAAGUGUGAAACUAAAGGGAUGAUAUUUGAAGUUUUUUCAAAAAAAAUUACGCGUUCCAAACUUACUGGUUAACAAAUUAUUACUUCAUUUUUACCGACCGUGCACACACCUGUUUUUUCCUUUCUUUCUCUCUCUCUCUCUCUCUCUCUCUCUCUCUCUCAGUACUCUCUUACUUCGUAUCGUUGUCAACAUGUCAAGGCUGUGCACUGUUGUCAUUAUAAUAUCACCCCUAAGUUCUAUCGAAUUACUACUACUGUUGCCGUCGAUAAUUUUUAGCCAUAAACAGAAUCAUCUUCAUGAAGUAUUUUCUCAAGAUUUAUAAAACUUAUAUAUAGUAGUUAUUUUUAAAUUUUUAUAAGGAUAUUCUAGAAAAAUAAAUAAUUUUUGAAAAUCUAUUAUCUAGGUACCAUUGAGUUUGAGAAAUUAAUAAUAUUGAAACAAAACAUUACUGGAGUUGGAAAAUAUUUUUCGGUAUGAAAAAUACUUUAUUGCUUAUUUGGUUUGAUGUAAAAAUAUUUUUACGCAUUUGGACAAAAAAUUGAAGUUUUCGUUUUUCACUUUUUUCGAUGAAAAAUGGAAACUCAAGCUGCGUAAAAUUAUUUAUUUAUUUUUUUCAUCAAACCAAAUAAAUGUGAUUUUUUUUAUUUCAACCAAACAAAUAUUGAUCGAAAUUAUAUUUUUUUUCAUACAAAUCUUCAUGAAAAUUAUUUUUCACGAUUCUACGUUGAAUUAAACGUACGGAACUUAGUGUAUAAAAUUUAUAAUUCUUUAUUUAUAGCUGUUGGCGUAUGAGACAUAUUUGUACACCUGGUUCAGGCAAUAAUUGGACUAAUCUCACGGCGACAGGUGGGCUCCACCUUGUCCCGGGGCUCUGACGUGUCACUUUCAAGUGUUCGUGGAAAGAAGUACCAAAAAUUAAAAAAGGCCAAAAUUUAACGAAUCAGAAGAGGACACGUGGCCUGAGUGGGUGAAGUGGACGGCUCAUGAUCCCCCGGGAUAUGUACGAGCAAGUUNUAAAAAACAAAAAAAAAAAAAAAAGCCUAAAUUAUUCCUUUGGUCCCCUAAGCACGAGGCGGGUGACAGUUUAAUCCUUUUAACUUUAAUUUAUUGUAAAUUUUUAUUUAAAUUUUUUAAAUUAUAAUAUUUUAAUUAUUAUUGAAUUAUUAAUCAUUUUCACGUCACUCGUAUAUUAAUAAUUUACCAAUACUUAGACAACUGAAUUGGAUUCUGAGACUCGAUUAAUAUAACAAUUCAAAAAAAUUAAGCUAAAAAUUUUAACAAAUUAAAGUUUGAGGAUCACAACAACGUCAUGCGCCUUAUAUUCUGAGGAUCAAAAGAAUAAUUUGUUCAAAUAAAAAAAAAGAGAAAUGCUUAGUUAAUAAACAAGGGGUUGCAAUCUCUAUAAUCCCUUGUCCAAGGAUUGUAGGCCUGGUUGUGUUGUUUUCCGACCUCUUUUCAUAUUUCAAUAAAAAUAAUAAUAAAAAUAAAUGUGAUAAAACAAGUAGAGAAAAAGAAAAUUAUAAAAUUACAAUUCAAAAUGGGCUAUAAACCUAGCACUCAGAAAAAAAGAUUAAGAGCAACAGAAUAAUAAUAAUAAUAAUAAUAAUAAUAGAGAGAGAGAGUUGAGUUUAUGUACUUUAAAAGCAUAAGUGCUCAGCAUGCUUGUGAUUUUUUAACUAUAAGAUGGUCUUAAGAUCCAUGCAGCACCAGUUCAAUUAUAGAUUUAUAUAUAUAUAUAUAAAAGCUUUUGGGUGAGUCAUUGAAAUCAGAAUCAACCUAGUAAAUCAAUAUUGCUCUAAUUACAACACUUGAUUCAGUGGUUAUCCUAAAAUAUCCUUGCACUUCAUCCAAAAAGGUGAAGCUUGAACAAGUUCUCUCUCUCUCUCUCUCUCUCUGCAUUGACCACUAGAAGAUUGUUUUAGGCCCACCCACACUAUUGAGAGAGAGAGAGAGAGAGAGAGAGAGAGAGAGAUGAAAAAGGCUCUAUUGACCACAUGAACAAGAUUGUCUUUUGGCCCACAUGAAUAAGAGAGAGAGAGAGAGAGAGAGAGAGAGAGAGAGAUGUACAUGUUAUGUAGAAAGAGGGGGUAAAGAAGUAAAACAUGGGCACAACUCUCUAGGGAAGGGAGCUACUAGCUAAGGGAAGGAGAGAGCUCCUUGGAAACAGGCAUGCACACAGUUCAGCUGGAGGAAUGAUGAAAACAAGGCCUGAGAGGAGGUGUCAAUUUUCACUUUUGGAUCCAUUUACUGAGAAAACUUAUUACUUGCACCAUGUGCAGCAUCUCCCCACCCACUACAUUAAUUCCUUGCACCGUUUUUCCGCAGUUUAAGCUUUCAGAGUAACCGGUGGAGUGUGACCAAAUCUGAGAGCCAAUCUGCUCACGCGACGCACGAGGGUACGUACGUACUCUCACGAACCAAGAAUACUACAAUUAUCGAUCACACAGUUGUGGUUGGAAUGCGAGACGGAACGAGCGGCUGACAGAGAGUGGUGCAUUGGAUCGACGUACGAAUGCGAGGAUACAUGCACCAGGUUUAGACAAUAGUUCUCUAUAUAUGCAUAGCUCUCCAUCAUUUAUGACACUCUAUGACCACUCCCUGAGUCCCUGUCCACCCUCCCUCUCUCUCUCUCUCUCUCUCUCUCUCUCUCUCUCUCUCUCUCUCUCUCUCUCUAUUUGCAGCAAGACCAAGAAGAGAGAUCUUUAUAGGCUGCCCCAGCUAGCUAGCUAGCUCCACACCCUCUUUGUCUUUGGUAGCCAGCGCAGAAUGAGGGGGAUGUGUAUAUAUAUAUAUAAAUAUAUACGCACACACACACACACAAUAUAUUCAUAGAAAAUGCUUUGCAGCCCCACAUAUUGUCCCUCCAAUAUUAAUGUGUUGGUCAGUUUAUAUGGCGUCUUAAAUUGUCUAAAGCGAACUAAUCAGAGAGAUACCUAUCGUACAUGGAAAUACAUCAAUAGAUUUUCGGAAAAUAUUUCGCUUUCAUUGAGCAAACUAGGUUUAUCAGCCUCACAAAGAAACCUAAAAUAGGUGAUAACUCAAUUUUGUAAACUUUUUGUGCGAUCCAUAUCCAUGUUAGGUAUUGGAUUGCGAAAUUUUACACACACACAUAUAUAUAAAAUGGAAAGUGCCAUACAAAUUUACAAAUAUAUUUAAAAUGUAGAGAGGAUUCCUUUGUGGGGGGGGACCCUUUAGGGUGCCUAUGGCAUUUCCCAUAUAGGAUAAGAGGAGCUUAUAUCAUGGUGUAAUCAUUCUUUUAUCAUUUGUUAUAUGGAGAGAGAGAGAGGGAGAGAGACUCUGACCUCUCUUUGGGUCAGUGUCAGGAAAAAGGAAGGGAAAGGAUUAAAGACUACAGAGGAAAAGACUGUUCUAAAGCUACAAAAUUUGGUGCACAAUAAACACUGAAAAAGAGCUCUUUUAUCAUUCAUUCAUCUUUGCCCUAAAGAAGAGGAGUAAGAAAAAGUAAGCUUUGUUUUCCUUCUUACCCAAGAGAACUUGUAGCUUUAUUGCUUUUCUUUCUAGGCUAACUUUUUACUUUUCUAGGUUAGGAUAUGAGGGUCUGUUUGACUAUAAUUCUUAAAUAUAAAAAUAUAAAAAUACUUUUAAGUAAAACGAGUAUUUUUUUAAUAUGUCAUCAGAAUAGAAUGAUCUAAGUUGGAGUUACAUAAGGCUCCUAGAAUAUUUAAUUUUUCUCCCAUUUAACUCAAGUUCACUUCAUGGGCUUAUCAAAAAGUUUCGAACUCAGAUGUGGAGGAGAGUGAUAAGUAGAAAAAUAUAAAAGCGCCGUUCUCUAUAACUUAGAUUUUUGGAGAAUAACAGUUAUUUUAUUUAAUUUAACAAUAUACUAUUUAAUGAAGUGUAAUUUGAAAUAACUGUUAGAACAAUUACUAUUUUGAUAUAUAGCACGAUAAAACAAAAAUGAAAAUUGAAGCUUUUGCUUUUGAGACUCAAAAAUUUUAUUUCUAAUUCCUAUAGUAGUAGAAGCUCCAAAUUCUUUCUUUUUUUUUUUUCUUUUGAGAAAAUUUAGCUUGUUAUCCGUUUCGUAUAAUUCUUUUAGAAAUAAACUUAACUAGUGAAGUAAUUAGGCCACAAACUCGGGACCUAAGGUACAGUCGAGCAUUUUGCCACAUGCGUUAGGGACAGUUAGUAACUUCAAAUUCUUUUAUUUGCUAAACACUCUACUAGAUACUGUUGUUGUCGAAAGCAGAAGCAGAGAUAUGGCUAAACAGGUCUUGAUCAAUGCUCAAUUUGUCGCGGGACUGUUAUCGCAUCCAAAGAUUUAUCUAUUACGGAUUUGUCUUGAAUAUUCCAUUUUAUUAUUUUCUUUCUUUAGUACUCAAGAGCUAGCCUUGUACAACAAUAAUUAAUAGCCAAAGAUUACUAUUUAGACUACUAAGUCAUUUUUCAAAAUAAGAUAAAUUGUUUGAUAGUUGUUUGUAAAACAUCUUGCUAGACUACUAAAACACAGUCCUAAUUUGAAAUCACCAAAAAAAAAAAAAAAAAAAAAAAAAACAAAAAUAAAAACACGAAAGUGCACACUCAGUUAUCUAAGAUUUGACCUUUACUGCCAAGACAAAGCAGGGACUUGCAUUCAAAUUGGUCAGUAUUAAUUAUUUUAUUAUUUGUAAGAUAUUGGGAGUUCUAAUUCAAUGAUCUGAUCCAUAGAAGCUCAAAAAUGUAACAUAUCUAAUAUAAUCUAUACAUAAAAAAAACUUAAGCCUAUUAGGUGGGACGUCAAUACUAUAUUAUAAUAUAUGUAUAUAUAAUGUAUAUAUUAUAUAUGUAUAUAUAUGUAUAUAUAAUAUAUUAUAUAUAUAUAUUGUAUAUAUAUAUAUAUGUAUAUAUAUAACAUUAUAUAUAACAUAUAUAUAUAAUAUAUAUUUAAUUAUAUAAUAUACUACAUAAUAAUAUACAAUAUAUAUAUAUACAUUAUAUAUACAUAUAUAUAUAUACAUAUAUAUCAUAUAUAUAUUUAACAUAUAUAUAUAUACACUAUAUACAAUAUAUAUAUAUACAUAUAUACAUAUAUAUAUAUACAUAUAAAUAUAUAUAUAGCAUAUAUACAUAUAUAUAUAUACAUAUAAUAAAUUAUAUAUAGUGAGUCCGGCUACUAUGCUAUUAAUAGCACGAAGCACUUGGUGCUACCAAGUUUUCUGGGGCAGUUAGAUCUAUCAUUUUGAUCAUUUUCAUCCGUUAGAUCAUACUAUUCAACCAACCCCCACUCAAUCUAGGGGUACACAAUCAUCCUAACCCCACAUCUCUUAAUCCAAUGGCCAAAAACUUGAUAGCACUAAUGACUUCGUGCUAUUAAUAGCAUAGUAGCCUAGUUCAUAUAUAAUAUAUAUAUAUAUAUAUAUACUAUAUAAUAUAUAUAUAUAUAUAAUGCAACCGGGCAUUUGCACUCUUAUUAAUUAAUUAUCUAAUGUUGAAUUAAUAAUUAUAACAUCUAAUAUGUAUCAUAUUCCAUCAUUUAUUAAUUUUCCUAGGGUCCUUUGGGAAAUGCUAUUGUAACUAGUCAAUCUAUCUAUGUAUCAUAUUCCAUCAUUUAUCUAUUUUGGAUGAUUAAUUGCCUUAUGAUCUAAUUAAUAAUCACAUGCGACCACUAAUUCGCGAUUAUAUAUUUAAUAUUGUUUCCAUUUUUUUUAUUUAGUUCUAAAAAAUUACAAGUUGUCGGAAGAUAAACUUUCUUACUUUUAUUAUAUUAUUGAUUAGCUGCACUGCAAUCCUCGCAAAAAUAAUUUCUAGCAAGUCCCAAUUUGGUUCUUUUGCCUUUUGCUUGUAUUAUAAAUAAAAAUAUUGUACACAAAAUUAAGCUCUAUGUGAUUGGUCGUGUCGCAUAUAUAUAGAUUUUCUCUCUAUUACAAUCGUUGGUUAACUUUCAAUACAAUGGACUAAUGGCAAUGCCAUGCAAAAUUAAAGUUUACAAAAAAUUUUUGUUUUUCUUAUUGUCAAACAAAUCUUUGUGUACUCUAUUCAAAAUUUUCUAUAUACAUUUUUUUGAAGGAAAUAUCGCAACAAUUAAUGCCAACCCUAAUUUUUUUUUCCUUUUCUUUUUCUAUUCUUUUGUGGUCAAAAGAAGUACUAUAUAUAUAUAUAUAGAGAGAGAGAGAGAGAGAGAGAGAGAGAGAGAGAGUCCGGGUGGUAUACUAUCAGUAGCACGGAGACCUCCGUACUACCAAGUUAUUUUUAAUAUUGAUGCAGUUUUCAAAUUGACGAUUGACCACGUUACAUUUGAUCUAUAUUAUUGAAAAUAUUUGAAAACUAAUAAAUUUCAUAAUUUUUCGACAUUAUUUAUUUAUCAAAUGAGUAGUCUAAAAAUAAACGGCUGAAAAUAAAAAUUAACUUGGUAGCACAGAGGACUCCGUGCUACUGAUAGUAUACCAGCCCAGUUCUAUAUAUAUAUAAAACUACAAGAAACUGCACCAUCUGCUAUUGCACACUUUAUCAGAUAUAUAUAGUUUUUUUAAAUAAAAAAAGGUGCAACAAUUCUUGGGUUUCAGUAUCUAAAAUAUUUACCGACCGUUCCUAGCACAAGUGGCAAAGGGUUUGGUAAUCGGUACCCAUGGUCCCAAGUUCGAAGCUUAGUUGCUUUACAUUUCCAGCUGAAUUUAUUUCAAAAAAGAAAUAAACGAAGCAGGUAGCAUGCUACAUAUCUUUCUCUCAAAAAAAAAAAAAAUCACAAAGCGUGGUAGUGAACUAGUAACUUUUGUAACCUUUGAAUACCAAAUUAACUGCUUUUGUAAUUAACCUUUGAAUAUAUACCAAACUAGUCACAAUAUUACUAUGGCAUAAGAACGAGGAACAAUGCAUGUAACUUGGUACUUUUUGCAGAAUAAAUUAACACUUUUUCCACCACCUUACUUCACUUUUGUGAAAUAAUUAAUUACUCUAAAGCAACACUUCUCUUUGUGAAAUAACUCUGAAGCAACACUGCUUGCAUGCACAUGCAUCUGAGAAUGAAUCAUGCAAUUUGCCUUUUGUUCUUUAUGGCAGUAAAAAGUAAAAUCCUCCCUCCUUUGCAUUCUCAACAAAUACAAUUCAAAUCUUUUUUAGCAUAGGCUAAGUCUCUCUCUCUCUCUCUCUCUCUCUCUCUCUCUCUCUCUCUCUNAUAUAAGAUAAUUAAAGUGCAUGGAAUUUCCUUAUACACCCGGUGCAGGAAAUAAUUUCUCCAACUCCUCGCCACUUUUCCCCAUAAAUCUAAGUCUCACUGAAUUUAUGUCUCUCUCUCUCUCUCUCUAUCAAACACAUGCAUGCACAUAUUCUUUUUCACUUUUCUCUUGCCUUUUGCCUCAGAUGUCUCCUUGUCUCUCUUCUUUUACUUUUCCUUUUUUUCCCUCCUCCCACUUUUGAAGCUUUAAGUAAAUGUUGGAUUCUUGUCAUAAGUUGUUGAUUGAACCAUGAAUGGAGAGAGAGUAGUUUGGAUCAAUUUGGCCUUCCUAAUGUGAACUCAAGAUUGGGCUUGCUCGGGCUCGAUGUCUCCGAGAGGCACGACGAGUUCAUAUCGGAGAUCUCGAAGCUUUUCGGUUGCUUUUCCUGCACCCCCCCCAAAAAAAAAAAAAAAAAAAUUAAACAAUGUGGCUCUUUGAAUUUCUUGAUCAUGAUUUUAUUUUCAUUUCGUUCAUGGCGGCCCAUAACUACUGGCGAUUCUUCUUGCGGCUUUAAGAAUUGAUAGUAGUCAUAAAUUUUAUAUUUUGAUUCACGAAAUUAAGGCUUUCAUUUUUUUUUUAAAGUUUAGGCCCAGUGGCUAGCUAGAGUUUCUGCAGAAAUGUUGUUUGACUGUUAGAAUAUUUACUAACAGCUAUUUCAUUAUACUCACAUAACACCUUAAAAAAGGGGAAUUGCUUAACUUUCGAUUGAUCGCAGUAUAAUUAAGCAAGAGAAACUACAAAAAAAGGGCUCCAUUUUUUGAAUUGGGGAACAGAAGUUAUUUCAAAAGUUAGGUCAAAUGAGCAUAUAUAUACAUAUAAUGGUUCAUCAAAUAGCCAAAUCCAAUAUACAUAUGUUUACUUAAAUAUUGUGUCUAUGUAUCAAGUUCCACUUGUGAGAGAGGUAAUGAAUAGUUACUUACCUUAAAAUUAUGCAAACUCCCUGUGGUGGAUUCACUUGGUAAUCCAUUAGACCAGCCUCCCCUGCUGCAAAACCAAUAGAAAGAAAAUCUCCAUGAGAGAGAGAGAGAGAGAGAGAGAGAGUAAAGUAAUGUACUCAAAAGGAGGAGGAGCUCAUAAAAGGAUACAUGCUAAUAUAUUUUUUUUAUUUGUUUAAGUGAGAAAGGAAGCUGCAAAUGUGUGACUAUUUGCUUUUUAAAAAACCAAUAAAAUAUUUUGACAUGAUAAUGAAGUGUUGAUUAUUGAAAUGAUGUUACAAUUUCCAUGAGAGUUUGAGUGCCCAUUUCAUCACAAGAAACAAGAAACAAGAAACAGCAAAGAAGUUUCAAAGGGCUUUGAACCAAAAAGAGAAGUGCCCACAGUUAGACUAGUCUCUUUUGGUGUGAGCCUUUGCCUUGGAAUUGGAGAGAGAGAGAGAGAGAGAGAGAGAGAGAGAGAGAGAGAGAGUCUUUAUUUUUUAUUUAAACUCUUGAGUAGGAUCAUUCCACCAUCAUGAUGUUCAAAUAAUGUUCACCUGAUGCUGGACCAAUGGAACAAAGCAAACCAAGAUCUCUUCUUGCCUCUUUUUGUGAGCACUUGCAUGGGAAUGGUAGAGAGAGAGAGAGAGAGAGGAGUUUUUUAUAAUGUCCAUGACUGUGACAGGGCUAGGAAAUGGCACAUACCUUGAGAUCAUGUAAUGUAUACCAUUGACUCUUUAAGGAAAAGCCAUAUAUAAUUAAUUUCAUUCAUCUUUUUUAAGUUUCCUAGAUUUAAUUAAUCUUUGUACACUUCCUUUUAACAGGUGAAUAUUAGCUAAACAAAUUAAUUACAGGGAAAAAAAGGAGUUUUAGUUGAUCUUAAAAUUCUCAGUAAUUAAUAUUGGCUAGCUAUGAGAGACACAUGCAUGGAUAAAUAAAUCCAUUGGGAAUAAUAGCUAAAAAUGCAAAAUGGGACAUUGGCUCAUGAAUCAAUUCCUUUGAAAAUCCAAAUUUCAAUAUUAAUUAAUCCCUUAAAAAAGUUUAGCUUCUUCAUCCCUCAAAAGUUAAUUUUUGAAGAUUUAUAUGAGCCCAUUAUAUAUAAUUAAGUACUUAUGAAGUGUAAAUACCCAACUAAUUAAUAUAUUUCUCUCUGGUUUGUUCAAACAAAGAAUAAAAAAAAUAAAAGAUUUUCUUAGGGGAAUAUGUGUAACCAUAAUUUCUACCUCAGGAAUUGAAUGAAAAAAAAAUAUUUUAGUGCAAGUUCUUAUUGCCAGGGAGCCAGAGAACAACUACUACAUUAUCAUUAAUUUAGUGCUAGCUUAUGAAUGAAAAUAUUUAUCUUAAUUAGAUAGAAAAAAAAUUAAAUUAUUUUGAACAAUAUAUACUAAUGAUAUCCUGGAGGGUACAUGUUCUUACUGCAAUUAACAGUUAUCUAAAACAUAGAUUAGGUAAAGAAAAAAAAGUCACUAUGUGUACAUAGUAUAUUAAUUUGUCACAUUCACUAGCAGCUAGUUAUAUAAUUAUCAAAGGCAUUUACUAGAUAAUUAAUUAAAACACAAACAUAUAAAUAGAAUAAUUAUUUAAUUACUACCUUGAGGAAUUGCUCCACAAGCCACCAUAAUUGCUACCAUGUUGAUUUCCUAAUUUCCCAUGUUGAGUUGAUGAUUCUGAUCUCUGAGUGCUGUGAAUAUCUCCCAAAUUGUCGUCGGAAAUUUCUCCCGUCGAACCGUUCUCAAAUCCAUCAGAUUGGCCUGGAAAAAAGAUUAAUUAAUUAAUUAAUUAGCAAUAAAUUUGAGUAUAGAAACUUGAUUUAUAAUUUGAUUUUUUAAAACUUGAUUUAUAAUUUGACCAAUCAUACCCGGAGAAACCGGCUUAUCGGUAUUUUUCACCGUCCGAUACAUCUGCAAAUACACGCAAAAUGAGUCAUGAGUUCAUCAUUCAAAUAUCUCCUGCAAUAAUACAUUGAAUAAAAAGAAAGAGAAAACAAGAGAAGUGCAAUUGCAUAUAGUAAGUGUUUGCAUAUAUUAAAGUACGGAAAUAAUACUUUUGAUCAGGAAUAAAAAAUGCACACUCCAAAUAAAUCAUCUUAAACUAUUAGGUAAAUCUCUUAAAUAGGCAUUUUAUAACUUUUUAUUAAAUAUUGAAAUAUUGAAAUUUCUGAUGCUGAUGAUAUAUGGAAGUUAAAUAUUCAAAUAUAGAUAUUAUUUUUCUUUUCUUUUUUUUUUUUUAUAACAUGGAUAAGGAUCAAAGAUAAUUCUACAUACACGUAAGUAUAUAUAUAUGUACUCUCUUCAUUUUUGAUUGAGCAAUUGAUUUCCUUAAAUAUUGAUAACAAGUGAUCAGUAUAUGGCCUGCUAUAAACAGUGCUCAUGUUUACCUUUUCUCUCAGCAUUAGUAUGGUUUCUGCUACCUAUGUAAAAGCUGAUACCUACAACACUUGCAACAGAUCUAGAGAGAGUGAGAGAGAGAGAGAGAGAGAGAGAGAGAGAGAGAGAGAGGAGUUUUUUAUAAUGUGUGUGAAGUAGUGUAAACAAGGGAAAGCAAGGACACUGUUCAAUUAUCUUUUCCUUUUUCUCUUUCCUGGGAAAAAUCCAAAGAGAGAAGAGUGUGUAGAGGAAGGAUGGGGGAGGGGGUAAAUUAAAGAGAAAGAUACAUGUAAGGAAAACAAAAAAAAAGAAAAAGAAAAAGAAAAAGAAAAGAAAAGAUAAAAAAAAAGCUCUAUAGGGGCUUCUUAAACCAACUGACUCCUUUGUUUCCUUUUCUUUUCUUUUCUUUUUUUUUUUGAUUUUUUCGUUAAGUAUCGAAUUUAGUUUACUAAAAGUUAACAGAUUUGUGAAUUAUUAUAUUGGUUAGUUAAGAAGAACAAUUAAAUUAUUCUACAGAGUACAGAUGUUGAACAAAGGAAAAGAGAAAAAAAGAAGACAAAACCUAAGAGGAAUAAAAAAACAGCUCUUUAAUUAAGGUGCAAGAUCAAAACUUAACCCACUGGAAAUUUCUAAAAAUUAGAAUUUGUAAGAAAUUGGAGAUUGGUUUUAAUUUAUUUACCUGCAAGUGAGACUUCACAUGAGCCAAGGUGAGAUCUUUCACAUCCAUGAGCUCAAGAACUGAUUUUGGUGUAGCCCCUAAAAUACCAAAAAAAAAAAAAAAAAGAAGAAUGAUUAAGAUGUGGUGGUGAUCUCACUCCAUCCUCGAGAACUGAAUUGUCUAAAAAUUUAAGGGGAAAUCAAUUAAAAGUUCACAAAAUUGAGGUGUCAAUUGAAGUAGUGUAAUUGAGAACAAAGGAAUUAAGGAGAAACCAUACUCUCAUGCCCCCCUAGAAGCUCUACGGCGUGAACGAAGCGCGCGUGGAGCGUCGACGUCCACCGCAUUCUUGGCGCCCUCACGCUCCGCUUCGUGGGGAAUUUCGACAGGUACCGGGCUCUCGACAGCAACCCUUGCGACGCCACGAACGGAGCGAAGUUGUUCGUCGAAGAGGAGUGAUCACACAACUGCUGCUGCUGCUGCUGCUGCUGCUGCUGCUGCUGAUGCUGCUGAUGAUGAUGAUGAUGAUAAUGUGGGAGUAAAGGGAGGGGACUACUAGUACAACUACUACUAGUAUUAUGUAGGUGGUGUUUGUAUAGAGGAAUGCCUCUUAUGGGCCUCAUGAGAACACCAUCUUGUAGCAGUGGUUGUGGGUGGUGGUGGAGGAAGUGGAGGUGGUGGUGGUGGUGGUGGGGGGGGUGGAGGAGGAGGUUGCUACUUGAGUUGUUGUUGUUGUUGUGGGGGGGAUCUGUGGGGCUAGGGUUUGCUAGGGAGAGGUCAAAAGAGGCUCCAUGCAACAGCUCCUUGGACAUAGAAGAGGAGGAGGAGGAGGAGGAGGAGGAGGCUAGGGCUCUCCUCCAAAACCCUAAUUCCAUGUUCCCGUGAUCUUGUUGCUGCUUCCUCCAACUUGGUGGGGGUGUGGUGGUGGUGGUGCUUGCUGGGGGGCUGAUUUGCAGGGAUAAAUCUGGUUGUGCUGGAAAAAGCUCCAUCUUUUGCAAACAAUUCUUAGAUCUCUCUCUACUCAACACAACACUUGUUGUCCCCCCCCCUCCCUCUCUCUCUCUCUCUCUCUUCUCCUCUUGUGAAUAAUAAUAAAACCUAACCUCAGUUAUGUAAGAGGUAGGGGUGAGGUGAAAGGAGUUUUUUUUGUGGUGGUGGUGGAGGGGGAGGGGGACUUGUUGAGGUGGGUGAGAUGUAUGGGGCUUGUGCUUGGAAUAAAUGGUAGAAGUCUGAGAUAGCUCUGAUGUGUGUGGGAGAGUGGUGAAUUUAGCACUAACAUGGAGGGCAAAAACAUAGAGUAGGGUUGUGUGGGGGAGGGGUGGUAAACAACAAGUAUUUUGUGGAGUUAAAAAGGUCCCCCUUGGGUUGUUUGUACCUACAAUGUGAAAGAAAAUGACACUAGAGAGAGAGAGAGAGAGAGAGAGAGAGAGAGAGAGAGAUAUGGGGGAAUAAAUGGAUUUGAGGAGUGGAUUCCUUUUUACUCCUUUUAUAUGUCCAUUCUUUAUCAAGGAAGAGGGAAUUUCUUGUGAAAACCUUUUUACUUGUUGGUUUGUCUCUCCACAAACAAGCUAGUAAAUUAAUCAUACAACCUUAUUAUAUAGAAUAGGAAAAAGCCUUUUCUGUAGCACUUAUCUUACGUAAGAGAAAUAACAGAUCUGUCAAAAUUAGCUAGGUUUCAUAACAUGGUUUUUAUAAAUUAGAUAUAUAUUUUUUAUUUUGCCUUUUUUUUUUUAUGUACAAUUAGUAAGAUGUAUUGGACAUGACUGUGACCUUAUCAAUUCCAUGUACUAUAUGUCUUCUGACUGAUUUGUAACUUAACCCAUAUAAAACAAAGAUUCCGCAAAAAGAAAUUUCUAUCCAAAAGAAGUAGAUUGGUUGGUUUUGCUCUUUUGCUGUAUGUAAUUAGUAGACGAGCGCAAUACUACCUGUAUAUUCAAAAGUUAAUCUCAUCAAUUUUUUAAAAAAAUUUAUUAAAUUUUUUUAAAAAAUUUAUCUAAACUCUUGGAUGAUGAUCAGUUAUUAGUAUUGUUAGAUUUUCGCCAUAUUUUUGGAUGUACAAGCUAGCUGUUGCAUUCCUCUUUUGUUGAUUUGAACCUCCAUUUGAUGGUCCUAGCCCCAUUGCUUCCUCUAGACUCAACUCUCUCCUCUGCAAUCAUUUAUGGUUGGAAUAGAAAGUUGGAGACCCUCAUUCUCACAUCCAUCAGCCUAUCACUUGCAUUGUUGAUUUAUGAGUCCAUGUCAAACUUAUUUCUGACAAGGAAACAUGGCUGUUGGUACAGUUCUUUCCCCAUUUUUCCAUUAUCUCAUGUGAUUUUGCCUUCUUGGGUGGGCUUAUCUUGGAAGAGAAAAAGCUUGAGACCCUUCUCUCUCAAUUUCCAAUACUAUAGAUCCAAGCUUAGGCUGACCGUCCGUAACGUAAGUGACAAAGAGGCUUGGUGGUUGGUACUCGAUCGAGAUCACAAGUUCGAAUCCUAGUUGAUUCACAUUUUCAGCUAAAUUUAUUUCUAAAUGAAAUUGUUAUAUGUGAUUCGAAAUUGAUAAUCGACUUCAGUUCGGAAUUUCGACUCACCCGUGAUUUUUCCCUACAAAGGGCUUUCCACGUAAAUCUGUAUAUUCUCUUUUAUUUUUGCUUGUGGUUUGAUUAUUUUAUAUUCACCAUUUUCGUUUUCGUUUGUGCAUUUAUCGUAACAGAAAUAAACGAAGUGAGUAGCGUGCUACCUAUCUCUCUCAAACAAAAAAAAAUCCAAGCUUAGACCCUUCUCCUCAGCCUGUUUGGAAAUACUUGUUCAAAACAGUAUUAUUUCAUAUGGCAAAAAAAAAAGGUAUUUAAGGUGUAUGUAGUACUCUAAAUUCUUUGGAUUUUACAAAAAAAAAAAGUCAUAUAUAUAUAUUUUUAGAGAGAGAGAGAGAGAGGGAGAUGAAUAGCAAUGAUGUUUUACUCUAACUUUUUAAGUACUCCAAAAUUCCAUAGGUUUGAGAUUUUAUUUAUUUUAUCCCAAAGUUUUAUAGGAAUGGGGUUAAUCCUACAAAAGUCAUGCAAAUAACUCUUAUGAAAUAGAAAAUUACAAUACUAAUCAAAAUAUAUACCCUAGUUUUAACAAGGCUAAAUUAUACUCUAAUACACUAUACUUUAGGUUUUUGUUUUAUUUACCACAUUGUACUAUAUUUUGUUCGAAGACGCCAUUAUAUUCUAAUAUUUUAUCAAUAUCUACAUUGUAUUUUAAAUUUAUUUUAAUUUUUCUAUCUUGUUCUAUUUUUCUUUUCUCAUGUAUAUCACUAAACUGUUUUUUCUUAUCAAUCUCUAGAUUACUGUGAAUAAAUCUAUUAUUAUAGACAAAAUCAAACAACCUUAUUAGGAGGCUUUGGUGAAAUAGUAGAAAAAAUAUAAAAUGAAUCUUCAGGAUAGACGAAUUAAAAGCUUCUAUCAUGUUAUUUUUAUGUAUUUUAUUAUUUUUCAUGUUAAAAUCAGCUAAACAUAUGCUAUAUCAACACUACAACAGAAUUAGGUUAUAGGAACACAUGUUUGGAACACUUUUGAGUAAGUGUCUCAUUUAUGCUAAAACUUAAAAACACAUCUACUAAUGCCUAAAUAUAAAGCCCAUUUCAACCAAAAAUAAAAGAUUACUCUACUCAACCCACCAUACCCAAUCCAUUUGGCCCGAUUACAAACAGAAAAGAAAAAAAAAAAGAAAAAUCAAUUACCAUCUUUUCUUCUCUCUUCACUCAAUCCAUUGAAAUUCUAGACGAAGAGCCUUUACUGUUGUCCUCCUCCGCCACCGCAGCCAACGAGAUAGAGUUUCGGCGGUUGCUAAAUGCUUAAAUAAGUGUUGAUAAAUUAGCAGCACCUUUUUAGGUUAUAGCGACACUCUUUAACUGUCACUAUAUACCUAGCGACCCCACAUAUAGCAGCACUUUUUAAAAGUGUCGGUAAUUUUAGAUAGCAGCACUUUUUUGACAUAUACCUAUAUUUAAAAGUGUCGCUAUAGACCGUUUUUAUUGUAGUGCAAUUUUAGCAAGUAUUUAGACUAUAAUUUAAAAAUGUAGAGAUCGAAAAGAUAUUUGAGUAGUGCAUGCGUUUGAAAAAAAAAAAAAUAGCAUAGUAUAAAAAGUAGGAAAAAAAAAUCUGUAGUGUAGUGUAGUUAUUUAAGCCUUUUAACAAAUACCUUACUUUUACAAGGUUCCCAAACAGGGCCAUAGAAGUGGGCAUCUAGUAAAAAUGUGGAUGUGCGUGCGUAUAUCUAUAUAUAGAGUUGAGCUCUUAUACUUUUAAAAACAUAUAUUUUUAAAAAUAUACGAGUAUUUGUGCUUGUGAUUUUUUAGUUAUCGGUUCGUCUCAAUAUUCAUGCUAAAUUAUUAACAACGUGUCCAAUUAACUCUCUUUUACUAGUGUGGCGUGGAUUUUGAAACGAUCCGAUGGCUAAAAAAGUCACUAGCAUUACUAGCUCCUAUGCUUUUAAAAGUAUAGGAGCUCAACUCUAUAUAUAUAAGAGCACAUUUGUUUUGGUUUGAAAAGAAAGAGAACAAUACACAUACACUAUAUUAUGUAGGGAAAAUAUAGAGAUUGCUUGUUUCCAAACUUCUUAGUAUUUGCUAAAUUUAACUAAAUGCACAUCUUGCUGGCCCCAGUAGGGGUGUAAACGAGCCAAACACGAGCAAGCCGGGGCCGGCUCAUGUUCAGCUCGUUUAAUAAAUUAAUGAGCUGAACACGAGCUGCCUCGUUAAAGUAUCGAGUUGAAAAAUUCAGCUCGUGUUAACACGAGCUGGCUUACAGGCUGGCCAACGAACAAUAAGUUAAAAUGAUUAGAUUGAAUAUAUAUAAAAACUAAAUUUAUGAAAUUUUAUCCAUUAGACUUUGAUCUAAUAUAGUUGAAACUUUACAUAUAAAUGAGUUUUUUUUAUAAUUGAGCUCAUUUUUAUAUUUUUAUUUUGCUAAAAAUUAAAUAAUAAAAAUAUAUAUUUUAUAUAUAUAAUUAUUUAUUUAUAUAUAAAUAUAAAUUCAAUAAAUUAUAUGAAUAUAAAAUGUAUGUAUUCGAGCUGUUAUCGAGCUGAACAUGAGCGAGCUGACUCCAGCUCGUGUUCGGCUCGUUUAUUAAACGAGUCGAAAAAUUUAGCUCGUGUUCAACUCGUUUACGAUACGAGCGAUUCGAUCUCGAGCUCAUUUCGAACCGAACACGAGUUGGCUCGAAAACAGCGAGCUGGAUUGCCACCCCUAGGCCCCAGAAAGAAAAAGGCUACUUAGAAAUUCACACUUUUUUUUGGAGAACCCAUUUCAUUCAUUUUUUAUGAAAAUAAACUUAACUAAAAAUGUAAAACAGCUAAACUUUAAUUAAACUUAGGUAUUACUUAUCAAGUCUUUUACUACUUGACGGUAGCGGCGGUGAGUAAAUUCACACAUAUUUAUUAUUUGUUCUGAAAAAAAAAAAAUUUAACAUAUAUACCACUUCUAAUUUAUAACUUUUCUAAUAUUUUUGUCACAUUAGAAAAUGUACAACAAGGCAACAACUGUCAUGUAGGGGAAGUACAAUUAAAAUUCUUUUUUAUGGUCUAUGAGGACAACUUGCAUUUAAUUGAUUUAGUGUCACAAUGCAAAUUAGAAAUGGACUAUUGCCACUACAACAAAAUUAAUUUUUUAUGGCCAUUUAUUUGUGGCCAUUUAGAAAUCGCAUCUAAAUGUUUUACUUUUGUGGCUAAAUUUAAUAGUUUGCCACUAUUUUAAUUUGAUAUGAAUUUCUAGAUAUUAAUUAUGGAAAAUUUUUUAAAAUGGCCGCAGAUUAUGGGUACUUUUAGUAGCUAAAUUUAAAUUUCGUCACUAAAAAAAGAAUGUAAUUUCUGUGGUGACCUAUUUCUCAAUAAAUGUACAAAAUGUUAGUGGCGGACUGUAAGUUUGGUCAUUAAAAAUACUCUUUAUUUUAGUGGCUUUUUAUUUUCCUAUAAAUGUUUCGUGUAUUAGUGGCAAAUUUAUAUUUUGCUACUAUUGUAUUUUAGUGUUAUUUUAUUCACAUUAUUUGUAGAAGUUUUUAAAAAUAGCUAUAAAAUAUAUUUAAUUAUAGUAGCAAUAGUUUAAUUUUGCCACUAAAAUAUGUCCAUUACAUUAGCGGCCAUAUUUAAAAAUGCCGCAAAUUAUGGGUACUUUCAGUGGCCAAAUUUAAAUUCUAUCACUGAAAAGAAAAUGUAAUUUCUAAAUGUAGGGAAUGUUAGUGGCAGACUGUAGGUUUGGCUAUUAAAAGUACUCUUUAUUUUAGUGGCUUUUUAUUUUCCUAUAAAUGUUUCGUGUAUUAGUGGGCCAAAGUUUAUAUUUGCCUUACUAUUGUAUUUAGUGUUAUUUUAUGCAUAGUAUAUUGUAGAAGUUUUUAAAAUAUAUAAAAUAUAUUUAAUUAUAAGUAGCAAUAGUUUAAUAUUCCACUAAAAUAUGUAGUUACAUUUAGUGGCCUCGCAUGUUGCAAUAAAUUUUGUAUUAUUUUGUGAUAGUAGUUACUUUUAGCUGAUAAAAGCUGGUCUUGAUUUAAAUAGCAUUUAUAAAUUUUCUGUAAAGUAGAGAUAAUAUUAGCAGAUUUUUGAUAUUGCAUUGAAUACUUAGAGUAGAAUAAUUUUGUUUCAAAAUAUCCAAUAUAUUUUUAUUUGAAAUUAAAUUUAAUUUUCUUUAACUUUUAACUUUCUUAAAUUAGUUGAAAUUAGAAAUUAACUUUUAGUUUUAGAUUCUAAUUUAAACUUAAAUAGAAAAUUAAAAAAUUUUAAUUUUAAAAUUUUAUUGUUAUUUAGUAUUAAAUAAUAAAUUUAAUAGAUUUAAAUUAAAUUUUAUAGAUUAAAUGAAAUUUAAAUUGUAAUUUCUAAGUACAAAUUGAAUCAAUAAAAAUUAAUUUUAUCUUUUGAAUAGUUCAUCAGUUUUUCAAUAUUUUUAUUUUUUAAAAUUAUAUAUUACGUAGAAAUUUCUAAUUAGAUGAAUAAAAAUCAAUAUAUAAAUAGUAGGGCUGAAGUGCUUUACUCAAAAGAAAAUCCUAACCUCUCUCGGCGCGUACCUGCGAAUAACUUAAUCUAGAGUCAAUAAUAUACGAGCUAGAUUUCUAAUUAUCAUUAAUCUAGAGUCAAUAUUGGUAAAGUGAUACAGGUACCCUAAUUAAUCAUGCAUACGCCCACGCCUUUUUACUAAUUAAUAGAUACGAGCUAGAUUUCUUAAUUAAUCAUAUAUUAUAUUAUAUAAUAACUAUAUAUAAUAUAAUAAUAUAUAUAUGAUAUAUUAUAAUAAUAUAUUGCGUUACAUCAUAUAUCCCUUAAGCCCCCGCUCGCCCUCUCCGCCUCCUCCUCUUCUAUAUUCCGUAAAAACCCGUCGCCCCUCCCGGCUAGAUAGCCCGUAGUAAAGGCCGCUUCAACCUCAUCAAGCGUUUACAUCAGGCGUACAGCCCCUCAGCGUGCCGUCUACUUCUUCUCGACCGGUAACAACAAUCGGCCAAUAUAUUAUUGAAAAAAAAUAUAUUUUGAAGGACUUAAAGAUUAUGUUCAUUGUAAUAUGUGAUUUACAUAUUUUUACGCUAUUAGGGGUGUUUUGUGAUUGAUGUAAAGUGCGUGCAGAAAAAAAUAUUUUGAUAAAAAAUAAUUUUACGAUCGUUGAUUUACGAUAAAUUUUUUCAUUCAAAAUUAUUUUAACAUAUUUCGUUCCAAAUCGAGCGCUGUGUCGUGAAAAUAAAAGCGGGGAGCACAUGAAAUUAUCGCAUGUGAGAAAACCGACGUUUUCUGCUCGAGGCCUGUGGUCCGCCCGAAAAACAAAAGCGGGUGAGCGCAUGAAAUUAAUAUACAUGAGAAAACUCGAAAGCGGGAGCUGCUGCUCAUGCGCAACGCGCCACGAGGUUCGGCCUCGGUAGUGAGAACCUCCCUCUUCAAUUAUAUAUAUUAAUAUAUAUAAUAUAUAUAUAUAUAUUAAUAUAUAUAUAUUAUAUAUAUAUAUAAUUAUAUAUAUAUUAUUUAGAUUAAUUUCUUAAUUUAUGACUUUAUAUAUUACAUAUGUAAUAUGUUUAUUUAAUUUUAGAUUAUUUCAAUUUAUAAAAUAGAAAUUUAUAAUAAUAAUUAUAUAUAGAAUAGUAAUCUUUUAUAAUAUUAAAAUCUAUUUAAUUAAAAAAUAUUAAAUAGUUUUUCAAUCUAUUUUUUUCAUUAUAACCAACAAUAGUUAUGAAAAAUUUCGCAGCCGAAAUUUUUUUUUCCGUCCAAUUUUACGUGGAACCAAACACAACCCUUAAGAUCUUUGAUAUUAUUUCCAAGUAGUACAUUUUUAUUUUGUUAUUUUGUUUAUUUCAUUUUUUCGUGCAAAAAUAAAUUUUUAGAUGUGGGAAUUGGCAAAAAAAAAAAAAAAAUUUGUCACCAUUUACUAUAUUUCAAUGAAUACUCAACUUCUUGGUUGGGCUAUUUUGAGCUCACAAAAUGCAUGUCCUAGUCGACACUCCUCAUUUGCUACUCAUUGCAAAGGAAUUUUUUAAUUAUUUGUGGCUCAAAAUAUUUUUUCUCAUAUCCACGAACAAUCAGAAAUUUGUUAGCUAUUUUUUUUCAAAAUAAACAAAGUGUUUCAAAAAGUCUAGAGACUAAACAAGCACAAAAGAUAAUAUAUAAUCAAUUUUGAAUUUUAGAAUUUUGACAUUAAAGAUCUGAAAUUAAAAAAUUAAAUUAAUAUUUAAAUUUAAAUUUGAAUAUUUAAAUCUAAAUUUUAAAUUUAAAAAUUUUAAUUUUUACAUAAUUCAAAUAUUUAAAUAAAAAAUAUUAAAUUUAAAAUUGAAUAUGAAUUUAAUAAAAUUUGAAUCUAAAUUUAAAAUAAAUUUAAAUAUUGUCCAACAAUAGAAUCAAUUUCAUAAAGCCAAAAUUUUACGCUGAUUUUGAUUUAGGCCUGAAACUAAAAAAUAAAUCUAAAAAUCAGAAUAAAUUUAGAAAAUAAGAUUGCCAAAUGGUCUAUAAAUUUAGAAAAUAAUAUAAAGUAAUAAAAUUAAAUAAUCAUAAUAAGACAAUUUUCUACUGUUAUAAAAAAUCUCAAGUUUGCUUUUAUCAUUCUAUUAGGACACAUAUACUCUCCUUUAUUAAUAGUGCAUGUGGAUAUUUUUAAUAUCCAAAUAUAUUGCAGAUAUAUAUUUAUAUAUCAUAAUGGAUAAAAGUUGGAUGGAUAAUGAAAAUAGACAACAUCCGAAUUACAUAACAGGAGUGAAUAGUUUUCUUGACUUCGCAUUUGCACAUGCAGCAAGAGGAGAUAAAAUUCGAUGUCCCUAUUAUAAAUGUGUCAAUGGUGCUUUUCAUACUCGAGAGAUUGUAUUCGGUCAUCUUAUCUUGCAUGGGAUAUUAAAAGAUUAUAAAUGGUGGUCGAGUCAUGGGGAAGAAUGUCCAAAUCAGAGUAGUGAAAGUAGCGACAGUAAUAAUGAAGAACAACAUAAGGAGAGUAGUGAUGAUGAAAUGCAUGAACUUCUACAAGACUUGAACCCAAUUGAAGAUAUAAAUGACUCAACGCAUUCCAACUUUGAUGAACCUAAUGAGUUUGCAAAAAAAUUUUACCAAUUAUUGAUGGACGCAAAGCAAGAAUUGUAUCCCGGAUGUAAAGAGUUUUCCAAGCUAGAGUAUAUUGUAAAUCUAUUACAACUUAAAUGUCUUCAUGGUUGGAGUGACAAAUCAUUUACUGCAUUACUUCAACUGAAAAAAGGAGCACUUCCAGCUGGUGAAACACUUCCGAAAAAUUAUUAUGAAGCAAAAAAAUAUAUAAAGGAUCUAGGUUUGGACUAUAUAAAAAUUGAUGCAUGUAAAAAUGAUUGUAUUCUCUAUUGGAAAGAAUACGAGAAAUAUGACAAUUGUCCAGUGUGUCAAGCUUCUAGGUGGAAACAUGGUGAUGAUAAUCAAAAUAACAUUCGUGGCCGCGGAAUAAAGAAUGCAAAAAAGAUCUCACAAAAGUCUUUGCGCUAUUUUCCUCUCACGCCAAGAUUGCAAAGAUUAUAUAUGUUAUCGAAGACUGCUUCUCACAUGAGAUGGCAUAAAGAGAAACUAUGUGAUGAUGGGCUAUUAAGACAUCCAGCUGAUUCUUUGGCAUGGAAGUCGUUUGAUGAAUUACAUCCAUCCUUUGCUUCUGAUCCACGUAGUGUCAGGUUAGGUUUAGCAAGCGAUGGCUUUAAUCCCUUUGGAAAUAUGAGUACUUCCUAUAGUAUAUGGCCAGUUAUCUUGGUUGUAUACAAUUUGCCACCAUGGAUAUAAUGUCUAUGCUUAUUCCGGGUCCAAAAGCACCGGGAAAUGAUAUUGAUAUAUACUUACAACCUCUAAUAGAUGAAUUAAAUGGAUUAUGGAGUGUGGGAGUUGAAACUUAUGAUGCAUUAAGUAAAUCCAAUUUUCAACUCUAUGCUUCAUUAUUGUGGACUAUAAAUGACUUUCCAGCAUAUGGCAAUUUAUCUGGUUGGAGCACUAAAGGAGCAUUAGCUUGUCCUAAUUGCAAUAAAGAUACUUGCUCUCUUCGAUUAAAGCAUGGGCGGAAAAUGUGUUAUAUGGGACAUCGACGCUUCUUAAAACGCGAUCAUAAAUGGCGUAGAGAUAAAAAGUCUUUUGAUGGAAAGAUAGAAACUCAACAAGCACCAAAACAAUUAUCUGGUGAUGAGAUACUUGAACAGCUAAGCAAGAUUACAAAUGUGACAUUUGGCAAACUUACAGAAAAAAGAAAGCGGAGUGAAUCUACUUUAAUAUAUAAUUGGAAAAAAAAAAGUAUAUUUUCCCAAUUACCUUAUUGGAGAACUCUUCUAGUGCGUCAUAAUCUUGAUGUUAUGUACAUCGAAAAGAAUAUUUGUGACAGUAUUGUGGGCACGCUCUUUAAUAUUGAUGGAAAAACAAAAGAUAGUAUAAAUGCUCGACUUGACCUUAAGGAAAUGGGAGUGCGAUCUGAAUUACAUCCUUUAGAUAAUGAUGAUAGUUAUGUCAUUCCACAAGCAUGUUACACCUUAAGUUUGAAAGAAAAGCGAGAUGUAUGUGAAUGUUUACUUAACUUAAAAGUACCAGAUGGAUAUUCGUCCAACAUAUCUCGGUGUAUCAAUAAAAAGGAGGGAAAGCUAUUUGGAAUGAAAUCUCAUGAUUGUCAUGUCUUUAUCCAAGAUCAUCUAGCACCAGCUUUUCGUGGCAUUUUACGAAAAGAGGUGUAUGAACCACUAGUAGAAUUAAGUGUAUUCUUUAAGGAGUUAUGUUCGAAAACACUACGAUCAGAUGUGUUAGAAAGAUUGGAGCAUAACAUUAUAAUUACACUUUGCAAGCUAGAAAGGAUAUUUCCACCUGCAUUCUUCGAUAUUAUGUUACACUUGCCUAUUCACCUCCCACAAGAAGCAAGGUUGGCCGGUCCAGUCCAUUAUCGUUGGAUGUAUCCAUUUGAGAGGUAGUAGAUGUUACAUACUUUAUUAUUUAUAUUUAUUUUUUUCUCCUUUCAUUACUUUUAUAAAUAGAAUAUUCUAAGAUUGCUUGGUGAUAGGUUCUUGCGUAAGUUGAAGUCUUAUGUGCGUAAUAAAGCACGUCCAGAAGGAUCUAUUGCAGAAGGCUAUAUUGCAGAGGAGUGUUUAACCUUUUGUUCUAGGUAUUUGAGUAAAAUCGAGACAAAAUUCAGUCGACUUGAGAGAAAUUUUGAGGGUAACGAAGAUCAUAGAUCAGAGUUAUCCGUUUUUCGACGAAACGGGAGACCACUUAAUAAUGGAAAGGGAGUCUUCAAGCAACUAACUUAUGAAGAAUGGCAUCGUGCACAACUUUAUGUGUUAAAAAAUUGUGCUGAAGUUCAACCUUUUCUUGAGUAAGAUUACCCAUAAGUAAUUUUUUUUGUUUACUAAUUUUCUUUUUUAUUUGUUAGUUAUUUAUCAAAAUUGAUAAUUAUACUUUUUUGCUAAUUCACAUAGAGAACACCAAAGAGAACUGGAAAAAGAGGAUUGUACUAAUGUGUCAGAAAUACAGGAUACAACAUUUGUUAAAUGGUUUAAACGCCGAGUAAGUGAAUGUAUUAGAAUAUUAUAUAUUUAUUAGUAAUUAUUAUUAUUGUCUAACUAUUCUAUAUAUUUAUCUUGUAACAGGUUACAUACUUAUAUCACGAAAGUACUGAAAAAGUAAGCAAAGAACUUUUGAAUUUAGCUUAUGGUCCCAAUACAUUAGUUAAUCACUACGCUGGUUAUAUAGUUAACGGCUACAGGUUUCACACUCAUAAGCGUGAGGCUACACGUCAAACUCAAAGUAGUGGUGUUGUGGUUAAGGGUGAUGAGCAAUCGGGGAAUAGAGAUUAUUAUGGAGUUUUGCAGGAUAUUAUUGAAUUGGAUUAUGAUGGCGGAAAUAAAAUAACAAUUUUUAAGUGUGACUGGUGGGAUACUUAUGAUGAGGGUAGGGGUUUCAAGAAGGAAGCCAAUGGAAUUACACUUAUUAAUUUUACUCGGCACUUGGCGGUCAAUGAGCCUUAUGUGUUAGCAUGUCAAGUGGAACAAGUUUAUUAUGUAGUAGAUAAUAAGAAUCCUAAUUGGCGACUCGUUAUCAAAACUAUACCUCGAAACUUUUAUAAUUUUCCUAUUACUGAUGAAGAGUCAGUUGACGACGAAGGACUUGAUUUAGAACACGUGGAUAUGGAAGUUAAUACAACCAAUUUAUUACCAGAAUAUAUUGCUAGUAGUGAUGAUGCCAUUAUUUCUUUGACGAGAAAUGAUGUUGACGGCAUUAUUUUUGAUAAGAACCAUGCAUUAUUCAAAGAAAUAAAUUAAGUUGGACAAGAAAAUAAUUUAGUUAAUAAAGAGGUAGAGGAGGAUAAUGAAGGUGAAGAACAAAUGGAAGAAGAAGAAGAUGAGUAGAAUAUGCAUGAAUAAUUGGUAUGAUAUUGUGUGUGGUAUGUUAUUUUAUCUCUAUUUUUUAUUAUAUGUUUGCUUCUUUAUAAUUAUUUCUAAAAAAAUUUAUUUGUAUUUACAUGAAUUUUAUUUAUAAGUAUCUUAUGAUGCAAUUGACAUAUUUAUUUUCUUAUAGAUAUAAUGGCAAGCAGAAUUAGAUCUGGAAGCAUUAGGACUAGAGGUGGAGCUCAACGAGCAAUUCCAACACCACCAACUGAAGAGAUUGGCGAGCAUGAACUGCCAAUGGAAUUGAAUGUGGCACAACCUCGGGAAGAGCAUCCUUCGAUAGAUUCACAUGAUGGACUCAAUAGGAGUAGUGCUGGUAUGAUUAAUUAUUUUGAGCAUAUUUAUAUUCUUAUAAGAUAUUAUUGAUAAUACUCUACUUUCUAAUCUCAUUCUUCUUGAUCUUAUACAAAUUGUUAAGUUUUCACAUUUAUUAUCUUGUGAAAUAACAAAUGUUACUUUUUAUGUUAGCUUCAUGUUCCAAUAGAAAAAGAACACGUGGACAAACGAUGGGUAUAAAGUGGGCCAAGAAAAGGAAAAGUGAAAAGGUCAAACCAUCGCUAGAGAUUCCAAAGGACUUACGACGAGUAGUUGGUGACAACGCCCAACAAUUUAUCACAGAGACAUCUCAAAUAGUCAAACAACAUGCUCCCUUGAAUGUUAAGAAGUGGAGUAAAAUUCCUACUUAUAUCAUUGAUAAGAUGAUACAACUUGUUAAUGUAAUUAGUAAUUUUUAGAAUUUUAUUUUAUUAUUUUGUGUCGAUCAUAAAUCCUUUACAAUUACUAUUUAUCUAAUUUUUCUCUUAUUUCUUUUUUAUUCUUUUCAUAUUUUUGUUAUUUUAAAGGAGAAAUUUAACCUUCCGGAUGAACUUCACACUCUUGGUGUCAUUAUACAACAACUUCGUGAUCAUUUCAAUGCAUGGCGUUAUCGCUUGUAUAGAUUUCACUAUAAGAAGUAUAAGACUGAUGAGCAAAGGCGUGCUCAUUGCCCAAAUGACAUUGAUCAAGAGGAUUGGAAUUGGCUUAUUAACUAUUGGAGUGAUCCAAAGUUCAAGGUAAUAAAAAAUUUUAUAAUUUCAAAGUGUUUUUAAUUUUUUUUUUUUACAUUCACUAACUAUUUUUUAAAUUAAUAGCGUGUUAGUGAGGCAAACAAAGCAAAUAGAGCCAAACAAACUAUGAUUGCUCGUGUGGGUACAAUGUCUAUUGCUAGGAAUAUACAUAAAAUGGUAAUUCCUUGUCCCUAUUUAAUAUCUAUUAAUUUUAUGUUAAAGAUAAUAUCUCAGUUUUAUUUUUAGCAUAUAAUUAUUAUCUAAAUUUUUUGUAUGUGAUUUCACAGAGGGAACCCAUAGAAAACUUAACACCAGAGCAAGUACAAGAGCUAGGGCAAAAGCCUGAAUAUAUGAGACUCUGGGAAAAGGUAAGAAGGAAAAGAGAUGGUAAUUGGGUUGAUAAAGAUGCUGAAGAUGCAUAUAAGCGAAUGGAAGAACUUCAUGGCGACCAAUUAAAACAGUACAGACAGGACACACUCUCUACAGAACGAGCAUAUACAUUAGUACUUGGCCAUCGAUCUAGCUACAUCCGUGGUAUGGGCUCAGGUCCUAUUCCUUUGGAAAGUGGCGGUACUAGAGGACAAAGGAUUCGUGCGCAAAUACGAGCAGAAAUAGAACAAGAAAUGACUACACGAAUUCAAACCGAAGUGGAGGAACGAAUGAGCCAAAGGGAAAGAGAAGCUGAGACACUAAUUGCUGAAAUGCAAGCACAGAUGCGUGCUGAGAUGCAAUCUCAGAUGCGUAGCAUGAUGGAGCAGCUUUCACAAAUGGGAUUGCCCAUUCCUACUCAACAAGCAUCGAAAGAUAAUGUAAGUUAGUUUGUUUCAAUAAAAUGAGUUGAAUAAUUUCAAGUUAAAUUAUUUGGUGUAUUAGAAAUAAUUAUGUACUUUUACAUACGGAAUAGUCCGAUUCCGUAGCUUCCGCUCCUCUCAAGUAAGAAUGCUCACCGAAAAUUCUUCAUAAGUGACAUCUUCGUGUAACUCCACCGGUUCAUACUCCAAUACAUGUGAGGAGUUCCAGAAAUACUUGCGAAGAUUCGAAACAUGGAAUACAUUGUGCACUCCCGCAAGCUUCGGCGGUAAUGCUAACUUGUACGCCAGGGGCCCGAUUUGCUCUAGAAUUUCGUAGGGCCCAAUAUAUCAGGGACUAAGCUUCCCCCGAAGACCAAAUCGCUUUACUCCUUUCAUAGGCGACACUUUGAGAAACACUCGGUCGCUAACCGCAAAUUUCAAAUCCUUCCGGUGCUUAUUCGCAUAGCUUCGUUGCCGGGAUUGUGCCGUCAUCAGCUUUUCACGAGCAAUGCGGACCUUUUCUUCCGCUUCUUGUACCACAUCCGGACCAAGGGCGACUCUUUCACCCACCUCGCUCCAAUGGAUAGGAGAAUGGCACUUCUGCCCAUACAAUGCCUCAAAUGGCGCCAUCGCUAUACUCUCCUGAUAACCGUUAUUGUAAGCGAACUCCGCCAUCAGCAAAUACUCAUGCCAUCCUCCACGGUAGUCUAGCACACAUGCUCGCAACAUGUCGUCGAGUAUCUGAAUUGUCCUCUCAGAUUGCCCAUCACUCUGAGGAUGAAACGCCGUGCUGAAAUCGAGCCGCGUGCCUAGAGCAUCUUGCAAGCUCCUCCAGAAAUGAGAAGUGAACCGGGGGUCUCGAUCUGAUACAAUCGACAUGGGAACCCCAUGCAAUCUCACUAUCUCGUCCAAGUAAACCUGGGCCAACUUGUCUCCAGACCACGUGGUGUGGAUCGGCAAGAAGUGAGCCGAUUUCGUCAAACGGUCCACAACCACCCAUAUAGCGUCAUGUCCAACUUGCGAUCGGGGUAGUCCGACCACAAAGUCCAUUGCGACAUCCUCCCAUUUCCACACGGGGAUUGGUAAGCUCUGCAACUUCCCCGCAGGAAAACGACGCUCGGCCUUCACUUGUUGGCACGUCAAGCACUGCGCCACGAACUCUCCAAUGCCCUUCUUCAUACCUGGCCACCAAUAAUGCACCUUUAGAUCCUUGUACAUCUUAGUACCGCCCGGGUGAAUACUAUACGGGGAAUGAUGCGCCUCUUGCAACACCAUCUUACGAAUCUCAUCGUCCUUGGGUAUGCACAAUCGGUUUCUGAACCGAAGUGCACUACCAGGUUCCACGCCGAAAUUGCCAGCGCGCAAGAUAGUCGGAACUUCCGGCGCCACUACCUCCAAUCCAAAUCGUUGCAUCUCUUUAUGCAAUAACGGUUGACUAGUAAUCGCCGUCGCCAAGUUCUCAAUAGAUUUCCUACUUAGCGCAUCGGCCACCACAUUGGCUUUACCGGGGUGGUACAGGAUAGUAAAAUCAUAAUCUUUUAUCAGUUCCAGCCACCGCCGCUGCCGCAUAUUCAACUCUUUCUGGGUGAACAAAUACUUGAGGCUUUUGUAAUCAGUAUACACCUCACAAUGCUCACCGUAAAGAUAGUGCCUCCAUAGCUUUAGCGCGGCGUUGCCGCCUUGCAUGCAAGCGAAGCGCAAUUGGCGGCAAUUAAUAGCUCACUGAGCGAUGAUUGAUGCAGUCAGUCAGUGCCCUCGAUUGUUCCAGAUAGAAGGAUCAUGGCGCCCCGGAACCAUGACAUCCAGCAGCAGCAGCAUCUCCUUGCGUGCAAGAGAAAGAUAUGCCGGCCGUUAUUCUCGGCUCUGUGUUGCAGCUAAAGCAAAGAUAAAGCAUUUUUGCUUUUAGCUUCUUAUUCUUUGCCAACCAACCAAAAGGUACCAAGCAAGCGGUUAGCUGUAGCGCUUUCAAAGUAGAAGAGUGGUCUCUUUUUCAUUGGUGGUGUAAGAUAAGAAGCGCGCUAUCCUCUUUGUCUUGAAAGAAAGUGAGUAAGCGUAUACGUUAGAUAAGUAAGCAGCGUAAUAAGCCGGCCGAAUAAGCAAUUGAAAACGAAAGAUCAAAGUCAUUCAUGCCUGUGUCCCUCCAUAGAACAUAUGAUUGAUUGAAUGAAGUGGCUGGCGUGGCGAGAAAAAUCAGUGAAGGUCCCAUGCACCAUGCCUGCAGCCUGCUCUUGUCAUGCAGGCUCCCCACGCUGAAUAACAUGGGGGCUGUUUGCCUUUGGUCAAAAUAAAUGGGGAACACCUGCUCGCUGACCCCUCUCUUCCUUCCUAUGGACGACAAAAAGCAGGGUGCUCCCAAUUACAAUUAUAUUCAUUAGGGCAGGGCGUAUCAGACUUGAUUUGCGGCAGUCAAGGUCUGUCUUGUAUAAGCGAGCAAAUAGGCGCCCCCUAUAUCUUAAGGGCCUGUUCUAGUUCUGGCAGGGCUCCUGUUCUAUCUAAGCGGGAGCUGGGUUCGCCCUCCGCCAUUAAAGAAGGGGAGAUGGAAGGGCAACCGUGCAGAAUGCAAGGCGUGUGUGGAAGCGAGCAGGCAGGAAUGAAGGCUGCGAACGAAAGAGAUGUGUGGCUGAGGGGAGGAGAGAAAGAAGGCAUGCAUUGAAAUUUUCUUUCUGUCUCCUGUUCGAGAAUCUAUGAUAGGAAGGACAGAUAAGGCUAAGGAAGAAUGAAAGGAAGUCCAUUACUGAGAAGUGGUGAUCUCAUCUCGUCUUGCUUGCUGGGAGAGAGGAAGCUUCCGGACCACCUUUUCAAGCCUGAUAGCGAGCGAUCACUCAGCAAUGAUACCGCCGGCCGGGAAUAAGUACCUAUCCCUUACGGGAAUCGAACCCGUGUCUUCGACAUGAAAAGACGAUGUCCUAACCACUGGACGAAAGGGACCAAAAAGCAAUUCUUCAUAUAAAAAAGAAAAGAGAUUAUUCUUUCUAUACGAAAUUCGACGAUUUCGUUUGUGUUCAUGUUGGCGAUUUAUGAUGUGAAUUCGGCGGGUCGUCUCCCCUUCAAUCGGAAGAGACCGCCGCUAACUCGAGAUCAUGUAUCGGGUAGUUCUUCUCAUAGCUUUUCAAUUGGCGCGAAGCAUACGCAAUGACUCGCCCAUUUUGCAUAAGAACACACCCGAGACCGGUGUAGGAAGCAUCACUGUACACCAUGAAACUUUCUCCCGGCGUCGGCAAGGCAAGUACCAGGAUAGACGUCAACUUCUCUUUCAACUCUUGGAAGCUUCGGUCGCAACCGACACUCCAAUCGAAUCUUACUCCUUUGUGCGUAAGGCAUGUGAGAGGAGUAGUCAACUUCGCAAACCCCUCAACAAAACGCCGAUAAUAGCCUGCCAAUCCGAGGAAACUGCGGACUUCCGCCACACUCGUAGGACGAGGCCAAUCUCGAAUCGCCUCAAUCUUCUUUGGAUCCACCGAGAUUCCACUCCCGAAUAUCACAUGGCCUAAAAAGGUUACCUCCGAAAGCCAGAAUUUGCACUUCUUGAGCUUAGCAUAAAGCUUCUCGUCACGGAGUAUUUGCAACACGGUCCUUAGAUGUUCCUCGUGCUCUUCUUCACUCCGCGAAUACACCAACACGUCGUCGAUAAACACCACGACGCACUUAUCCAACAUUGGUCGAAAGACCCUAUUCAUCAAAUCCAUAAACGCUGCCGAGGCAUUAGUAAGCCCAAACGGCAUCACCGUAAACUCAUAGUGGCCGUACUGCGUACGAUAUGUCGUUUUGUGCAUGUCCUUCGGUCGAAUUUUCAACUGGUGAUAUCCCGACUGAAGAUCUAUCUUCGAGUAUACCUGCGACCCCUGCAACUGAUCGAACAGGUCGUCUAUUCUCGGCAAUGGGUACUUAUUCUUAAUCGUCACUUUAUUCAACUCGCGAUAAUCUAUGCAAAGUCGAAGAAUACCGUCCUUCUUUUUCACAAAUAACACCGGUGCUCCCCACGGGGACACGCUUGGCCUCACGAAGCCUUUAUCGAGCAAGUCCUGCAGCUGGGCCUUUAGCUCUUUAAGCUCUACCGGUGCCAUCCUAUAUGGAGCUUUUGAAAUUGGUGCCACUCCGGGAAUCAAGUCAAUGACGAACUCGACCUCCCGAUCUGGUGGUAGUCCCGGUAACUCCGUCAGAAAUACGUCCGGAUACUCACACACCACCCGAAUGUUCCCCAACUCCGGGCACUCCUUUUGAGGGUUCACGAUGGUCGCCAAGUAAGCUUUGCAACCACCCUUAAUCAUCUUUCUCGUCCUCAUCGUCGAUAUAGUCGCCGCAAAGCGCGCGCCUUUACACGCCCAAUACACAAACUCUUCUUGACUAGGCUCACGAAAAGUGAUCACCUUACUGUCACAGUUGAUGCUGGCAUAGUACUUGGAGAGCCAAUUAACUCCCAAGAUGACAUCAAAUCCCCACAUCUGCUUAAGCACUAGCAAAUCCACCGGCAUGAUCCAGUCGCCGAUUUGCACCGGACAAGCUAGGCACUCCUCGUGAACUCUAAAUGAGUGUUCUGGUGCGUUAACCCACCAAUAAUCAUAAUAAUGCUCUAUAUCCAUGCCAUGCGUCUUAGCGAAUGAUGCAUCAAUAAACGAAUGCGAUGCGCCCGUGUCAAAUAAUGCUCUUGCUCUAAUGCCAUUAAUCAAAAUAAUACCUGCCACGACGUCGUCGGGUACAGCAGGCUGCUCCUCCACCUGAGUGGCGAAUACCCGUCCACUCGGUGCACGCGAUCCCUUCGGCUGACGCGGUGAUGAAGCGCGCCCAGCCGACAUGGCAGGUGGCAGUCCUGCAAGCUGUCGUGGAGCAUACUGAGCCGAAGCAGCUGACGGAGCAGGUGACGUGCCGCCCGGGCAAUCCCAUCUCAAGUGUCCCGCUUGGCCGCAUCGGAAACACCUCCCGUCACGCUGAGAACAUUCAUUCGGCCUAUGAUUCCCACCACAGAUCACGCACGGGAAGGAACUCAUUUGACUCCUUGACUGGCUCCUGUCUCGCCGCCAUUGCGAUCUAGGGUACCGAGGGGGUCGCUUGGAACUCGACUGUCCCGCGGAACCACCAGCCAGUCGCUUCUUGGACUUCUCCUUGUCCUUGUCCCUUUCCAACGCCUCGCGUUCCUCGCGCGUAAUGGCGUUGCCGCGCUCUACCCAUAGCGCACGGUCGAGCUCCUCUUCAUAGGUCUUCAGCCGGAGCGCCUGAACAGUCUUGAAUAUCUCCGGCCGCAACCGACGCUCAAAGACCUCCGCCCUAUCCCGGUCACCAUGAACCAAGCCGGGAACACAAUUAACCAUGUGCGAGAACUCCCUUUCAUACUCUUGCACCGUUCGGCUUCCUUGCCUUAACUUGCGAAAGUCCUCCUUGAUCUUCCGCUUGUCACUUUCCAGAAAGUACUCCAUCAGUAGAAUCUCGCGGAAUGCCUCCCAAGUCAUAAUAGCCGGAUCCAAAGACUGACCAUUCUUCACUCGCGUCCACCAUGAUCUAGCCGACCCCUCUAAACAGUGAGCCGCCAAACGAAUCUUGUCCUUCUCGAGAGUGUAGACAUCCUCGAACAACGCCUCCAUCACGGAAAGCCACGCCUCCAUCAACCAUGGGUCUUUCACAUCACCCAAAAAGGUCGAAGGAUUAAACCGUUUGAAGGCCGUCAACACCGCCAACGACCGCUCCUGCUCGGCUUCAAGUACCUCCGAAAUAGGAGCCGAAGAGCCUGAAGCUGUCGAAGGAAUAGCUGUCACCGAUGCCGCCGCCAUCGGCGUAGGUGCUACAGGUGCAGGCGGGUCCUGAGGUAUAGGUGCAGCCGUCGCCGCCGUCUGUCGAGCCACCAAGUCAUGGAGCCGUUCUAUCUGCUCCCCUUGCUGUUGCAUAGCCCCAGUCAAAGCUGCUACUUUGGCCCACAACUCACGAACUUCAUCGGAUCCCACUUGCUCUGGCACCUCAUCAGGCAAUGCCGGAGAGGACCGACGUGUAUAAUGUCUCGGUGACAUCUGUCCUGAAACGAAACACACGCGUUAAUACUCGACACCCGAGACUCUUACUCAGUCCAAAUAACUACCCAAUCAAGCGAAAGCAAUCAAGUACGUUCAUUUUCUACUCUCAGCAUUAUGUAGUCGUCCGCCCCACAUAAUCCCUUAAAAGAAAACAAGCGUUCCCUUGAAUCCAUCUCUAUUUCCGUUUAGAGAAGUUUUAAUCAUAACCCAAUCAAUUAGCCUUUGCAUAUCCAAGUCCACGUCAUACGUGUCCUAAUUCCUAAGGUUUCCAAUCCUAAGGUCCCUAAGUCCAUCCUAGACUUUUGCUUUCACUUGCUCUGAUACCACUAUAUCUGUCACGCCCCGAGCUCCGCCAAUUUGGUCGGAUUCGAGCACAUGACAGACGCCGAACGGACAGUACCUCCCCUGUCCGCCCAAGGCUCAAACAACAAGUAUAUUACAAGCAAAUCAUUAAAGAGAAUUGCAGAAUAUACAAGGUUUGCACGAGGGCAAACAACAACCACAAGUGAAAGCAUCGAAACUAUCUAAGCAUCCAACAUACAAGUCAUUUGAUUUCAUUUGAAUCAAACACAAGUAGUCUAUUACAUUUACAUUCAUUUACCCAUUCAUUCACAUCACGUUUUCCUUUAACCAAAUACAUUGUUUACACCAUUCUUACAUUACCCAAAAUAUAAUUUACAUUUCUUGCUCUACAUUAUUUACAGUUCAACAUCUACAGUUGAGAACACCAAAAUGUAGGGAAUGCCUAUAUCUCGAGGGCCGCUAGCUACGGCGCAACACCCUUGCCUCGAUCCUCCGCCGCCCCGCUCGCGCACGGAUCUGCAGGGUUAGUGGUAAUGAGAAUUACAACGAAGUUCCCAGUGGGUUCGGCUGCCGACCACGCCGAUUCGCCCACUAGGUCUAAUCCAGGCAUAUGUAUUUCAAUAAAGAAGGAUAACAAACCAACUAAUGCACUUCUAAUACAAUGCCUGCAAGAAAGCAAAUCACGGAUAGAUAUUCAUAUUCAAAUACAUCAUGAUUAUGCAUGCAUGUCCUUUUCACUUUCCUUUGGCCUUUACCCAAUCAACCCGGGGUGCUCCUGGUUUACCCCAACUCACAGUCUACAUAUCUCGUCUAACGGGGGAGGCGCAAGGCGCAACCACCCGAAGGAUCUUCGCCGGGCACUUUCACCCGUGGUGUUUUUAUCACUCCGGAGUACACCGCUUGUGGGGGAGCGACCUCCCACAAGCCGGAACCAAUACAUGUGAGUAUGAUCCCAUCAUCAAUUUGAGAAGGUAUAGCCAAACCUGUCUCAUGCCUCAAUAUCUCAAUGCUAAUGAUAGGUUCUACCAUAUCAUAUAUACCACCAAUAUGAGCCACAAUGGUCCUGAUGCCAUAACACACAUAAUGCCACUUGGGUUAAACCUUGUUUAACUAUACUCAUUUCAAUGCCAAUCGAGUCACUAUAGUCAAUGUCACCGUUGUUUACUAUGGUCAUAGUCUUUUCUCACAUUCACAUGCAUAUAGGGUUAUUCGUUUUCUUGUUGACAUGUGCCUAUAUCAUUCACAAUAAUCUUGAGCAGAUAAUUGAUACAAUCAAUAUAUACCAUUCAUUACCCUACAUGCAAGAAUGCAAUAAUAACAACAUGCUCAAAGUAGUGACAUAGACAUAGAAAGAGACUCGGUGAUUUCGGAUAGCACCCCCUACCUUUGUGUGAUGCUAGGAUGCCGCGGUUUUGUUUUCACGAUUUUCAGACACUUUCGCCGCAAGCUGCGGCAAUCUGUACCAACUCGGCUUCCUUUUCCAAUAUCUUCACGCACGCUCGUCGUAUCGCCGAACCGAGUGCACCGAUGCGUUCGUUGACCUACCAAUUAGGUUAAAAAGAGAUCAAUCCCAAGAUUGAACCUCAAAAUCCAAAAACUCUAAAGUUAGGUCCCUACAAGACAUCAUCUUCUCCAAUCAAGCCCCUAGCUUGAAGAAAAAUGGAGGAAAACCACCAUAGACAUUUCUAAAUGCUUUAACUAGAAGCAAAACCCAAAACCUAACUUAUAAUCACAAGAACUCACCUUAGAAGUCCAAAGCUUUCCUUCAAAGCCUUGCUCUAGCUUGCUCUACACAUUGGAGAGCUUCUUCUCCAAGCUUUUCUCCUCUAACUUCCACCUUGGUCCAAGCCCUAGGGAGUGAGAGGAAAAGAGGAGAAGAGUUUUAGAGAGAGAGAGGGAAAGGUUUUAGGGUUAGGGUGUGAGAGAAAUGAGAGCCAACAAGCGGUGUCACUUUUGCACAAGGCUUUUGCACAAAAGCCUUGUGCACAAAAGCCCCUACUGGGCAAAAGCACCUUGUACCCAUCUCUCAUCUCUAUACAUCCAACCCAUGUCACUUUUGCACAAAAGCCCCUCACAUUUUCAUUUUUGCAAACAGCCCUUACUGGGCAAUUUCGGGCUCGGGGACCGGUCUCUCCCUUCAGGGACCGGUUCCCGAGAGCUAUCCUGCAAUCUGCGCAGAAGGGGACCGGUCUCCCCCCGACGUAACCGGUCUCUCGGGACCGGUCUCCCACCGAAGGACCGGUUCCCGAGAGCUCGAUUUCCAGGACUUAACCGAUUUUUUACCUCGUUCGGCUGAUCAACGUUCGAGAACCGGUCUCUCACCCAAAGGACCGGUCCCUCAGAGUAAAAUUUCUGGGACUUCUCCAGAAUUGCAGUUUCACUCUCUCGGGUCCCUUUAUACUUUACAUAUAGGCUCCAAUGCACUUUUAGCCUAUAGUAACUCGUUCCUUUCCACGUUCCGCACAUUUCGACGGAACUUGGCACGGCUCACGGGGAAUUGCUAUGUUACAUAUAUGGUCUUUUCUCUUCCUCUCACUCUCAUUUCUCCCCUUCACACUCACUCUAGAGAGAGAAAGAGAAGGAGAAGAAGAGAAAGAAGAAGGAGAAGGAGAGGAGCUUACUUAGAGGCUUUGGAGCAUCAUCCCCUUCCUCUCAUCUCAACAUUGGUGGCUUGGAGCUCGUGGUUGAAGCUUCGUGGAGGAUCAAACUUCAACCCUACUUGGUUUAGAGCUUGGGUUGGAGCUUCUCUUGAGGUUGGUAGCUUGUAUUCUCCAUUUAAUACAAGUUUUCUAGAUUUUACUAGAUGAAACCCUAGAUUGUAGAAUUUGGGUUUAUUUUGGGGGUUUUGAAUUUGUGGCUUUUAGAGCUCUAUUGAUGGGAUUUGAACCUUGGAUUAGGUUGCUUUGGAAGGGUUUUGGCGCCCAUUUGAGCUUUGUUUGAGGAUUUCUUCACCUAGGUGAGUUUUUCUCCACCUUAGCCUAUAUUGCUUAUUGAUUGAGCUUAGGGUUGAUCGUAAGAUUUGUUUGGCUAUUGUUCCUACAUCUUUAGGGUGCUAGGAGACUAGUGGGCACCUUCGUCAGAGCAUACGAAGAGUUUCAUGAAGUCGCGGUGGGUUUGGCUUCAUUGGAAUAGGAGAAAACUUCUCCUAAGUGAUUCAAUGUCUUCGUUUCAUCGCAUCGCAUGCAUAUUCAUGCUAGAUAGAAUUUAUGUGAAUUUUAGAAUGCUUAAAAUGCAUGUGUUAUGUAUUAUGAAAAUUCAUCUCUAUAUAGUAGAGCCUUAUGUGGACUUAACAUGCACGUGAGUAGCAUUCUUCUUGUGGUUUGGAAACAUGCCUCAUAUGACGAAAAUGACUUGAAUUAUGUAUUCUUGAACACUAAACUCAUACUUGGACUUAGUGGACAAAAGUGCCAUAAAGGGACACUUGAACUAGAAAACUGUGGAACUGCAACAUAGAGGCAUAGAAAUAGGCCAUUGUGACAUCGACUAUAUUCCGUGUUUUAGACAUGAUGACAUAGUGAUAGGUCAUUGAUACAUAGGCUAUAUUCCAUGUUUUAGACAUGAUGACUUGAGACUUGAGACAGAUUUUACGCUUGUUUGCCCUUGUGCUCAUUCGCACAUGCUUGUGAGGGUCGCUCCCUACAAGCCGGCACUCCGGAGAUAGCCAUCGCGACAUAUGCUCGCCCGUGCGGGAUUGGGCGCCAAAGUGGAUUGCCGUAGGGGAGGUUCGUUCCUAGAGUGGGGAUGUUGACUACCAUGGGGCCAUUAGGCACGGCACAAGCCAGACAGCCUAUGGGUGGGUCUUACAAGAUUGCAACUAUAAGUAGUUGGUAUGCCAAGUCGACUUGAACUAGAAUAGUAAACAAUAACAUCUUACUAUUUCCGUUGUGGACAUUAUGUUGGUUGCAUACUCAUGCUUAUUUAUGUUAGCAUAGCUUUCUUACUUAUGCAAAUCAUGCUAAGUAGAGACAUCAUGUUAUAGCCAGCAUUCAUGUUUAUUUACUUGCUGUUCAUUUCGAUAUUUACUCGCUUCUACUUACUUGCAUAGUUUUGGGCCUAGUGGUGCUUUUCACUGAAGUCAGUAAUUGCCCACUGGGAACUAUUAUUUAAUAGUUCUCAUGCACCUGUUUCUAUGUUUCCUUUUCAGAGCCUUCGGCACCGACGAAGGCACGGGAUCGCGGCAAGGGAGUCGCAUAGCUAGAUAGCGGAGCUUGCUGUUGCUCCUAGGUGGUCACUCUCUUCUUUUUGGUUUUGUGAGAGAGAGAGUUUUGUUACCCUGUAUAGAGACCACCCAUGUUUUAUGUUUAGCAUUUGUUUUUAGGAUUCUUCUUAUACUACUUCAUGUCUUUAUCUAGUGGGCUUUCGGCUUUAUGUUCAUUUCUUUUAUUGUAGCUCAUAGAUACACUUUGCUCUAAUACAGCUAGAUGUUCUCUCUCUUCUUGGCUUAUUUAUCGUUUUGUUUUAGACGCCUUAUAUGUUUUAGACAUAUGGCGGGUCUGGGCACGCGCUGGGCGGGCUUCCGCUGGGUCCCGGGGCGUGACAGAUUAGUUUGGUAUCAGAGUCUAGGGUUGAGUCUUAGUAGACCUAGCAAACCUUAGGCAAGUGAGAUUAUAGGAAAUAGGCUCUUGAGAGACGAGGUCUAUUUGACUGGUGAGCGAAAGUAUCAUGAUUGGGUACCUCGAUAACUCUAAAAAGUUAGAGUUGAAUCGAAGUUAGUAGUGAAGCACACUUCCUUACUUUCGCAUGAUUUAGGGCAUUACCUUCUUUAGUGGGGAUUCGAUAGCGUGGGUUACUAACUUACGCUUUCAUGAUAUUGUAGUGACGAUGCCGAUUACACGCUCCUAAUCUGCCGGAGCGGAUAACGCGGCUAACUUGGAGGAGGUCGAGACCUCUGCUACCUCCGAAUCCGGCAAGGUCCAUGAGUUGAGGAGCUAACUUGUGGCUCUCACCGACUUGGUGACACAGCAGGCGGAAGCGGCCCGACAGUAGACGGAGGCGGCGCGCCGACAGGAGGCGCGGAUGAAGCGCCUGGAGGACCUUCUUCUACAGCAGGCGGUAGCUUCCAGGGAGACUUAGGCCCCUACGCCACCAGCACCGGUCGUGGACGUCGCGCCGAGAGCGCCGUCCCCCGCCCCCAGUUCUUCGCUAGCAGCGCCCGCGGCCGCGCCUCAGGAGGAGGCCAUCGCGGUACCACCUGUGCAGAGGCCCCCGGUUGGAGCAGCUUUCCCUACCUUGGUCGAGGGAGCGGAGCGGGACCGACUUAUGCUGCACCUCAACGAGUUCAGGAGGUGCAAUCCUUGGAUCUUUGAUGGCGAGAAGGUCGACCACUGGAUCGUAGAGAAGUGGUUGAUGCAUAUGGAGAAGCUCUUCCGCGACACCUUCGUGGAGGAGAGAGAUCGAGUUUGGCUCGCCACACACCACUUGGACGGUGAGGCCUACCGCUGGUGGUUGGAUCUCCAGGAGAAUCCUAGCACUGACUUGGCGGCUAUAUCUUGGAAGAGGUUCAAGGAGCUUCUAUUGGCGCAUUACUUCCCGACCAGCGUCAAGAGGAAGAUGGAGCAGGAUUUGCGCAACUUGCGCCAAGAAGAUCGGACUGUAGCCGAGUACGAGCGGGAGUUUUCUCGACUUCUUCACUGGGUGCCUUUCGUCGUGCGGGACGACGAGGACAAGACCCGCAUCUUCAAGCGAGGGUUGCGACCGUCGAUCUUCCGGUUCAUGAAAUCCUCUAACCUCCAAACCUACCGGGAGGUGGUGGAUCGCGCACUCAUUGUGGAGAGCGGCGCGGCUGAUGUCCAGGAGCGGCGAGAGGCUAUGGACAAGAGUAAGGCCAAGAGGCCUACGGCUGAGGGUGCGAGCCAGACGCACUCUAGGAGGCCGCCGAAGCACCCUAGGAGCCAGCAGCGUGGGCGUAGCUCGACAACACCGCGAGGAGGACCUGAUCGACGCCGACCUCCUCACAUUCCACCGUAGUGCCCGUAGCGGGGAGGCAGGUGCUUCCAGUGUGGCUAGGAGGGCCACUUCCGGACUGAGUGCCCGAGGGGUUCGUCACCGGCACCGUCGACUGCAUCGGCACCGGCUCUACCAGCCGUCAACCACGGGACUCCGUCGACACAGUACCAGCCUGGGCGGCCACCCAUCUAGCGUCAGAGCGAGAGAUCUCGACAGGCCCGGAGUGGGCGUUUGUAUGCACUCAGACCGAGGAGGCGGCAGCAGCCGAGGAUGUGGUUGCAAGUAUCAUUUUACUUGAUGGCAUUAGAGUUCGUGCUUUAUUUGAUACCGGUGCAUCGCAUUCUUUUAUAGAUCGGUUGUUUGCCGAGUUGCAUGGCAUCCCUUUGGUUUCGUUGUUGCAUCUGGGAUAUGUUGUAGUACCCGACCACACUCUGGAUACUAGAGAGUAUUGCCCUAGUUGCCCUGUACGGGUAGGAGAGUGGAUUAUGCCUGUGGACUUGCUAGCUUUGCGCAAGAUAGGAGAUUUUGAUGUGGUCUUGGGUAUGGAUUGGCUAACCAAGUAUUAUGCCAUGAUUGAUUGCAAGAAUCGCACGGUUACUUUUAGAGAACCGGGGCAGACUGAGGUUGUAUUUAGAGGAUGCCAGAGUUCGCUUUUUGCGAUGUCGAUCAGCUCGUCUCGAGCUAGGCAGCUGAUCAGCCGAGGAUGUGUAGCCUACUUGGCUAGUGUUGUGUUGAGGGACAAGGAUGAUACCCCUAGAAUUGAGGAUAUCCCGGUGAAACGGGAGUUUCAUUACGUUUCUAGCUGAGCUACCGGGUAUGCCACCCGAUAGGGAGAUCGAGUUCAUGGUAGAUCACGUCCCUGGGACUACUCUAAUCUCGAAGGCACCCUAUAGGAUGGCACCGGCAGAGCUAAAGGAGCUGAGGGCACAGCUAUAGGAUCUGUUGGACAAGGGCUUCUUUCGACCGAGCGUCUCGCCGUGGGGAGCGCCAGUUCUGUUCGUCAAGAAAAAGGACGGAUCACUUCGCCUAUGUGUGGACUAUCAUGAACUCAAUAAAGUCACGAUCAAGAAUAAGUAUCUGUUAUCGAGGAUUGAUGACUUGUUUAAUCAGCUCAAGGAUUGUGUGUGUAUUCCAAGAUCGACUUGCAGUCGGGAUAACAUCAGUUAAAGAUUAAACCUGAGAAUGUAUCGAAUACGGCUUUUAGAACAUGGUACGGACACUAUGAGUUCAAAGUUAUGCCGUUCGGGCUUACAAAUGCGCCGACAGCUUUUAUGAAUCUGAUGAACCAUGUUUUCAAGCCUUACCUGGACAGGUUCGUCGUGGUGUUUAUCGACGACAUUUUGGUUUAUUCCCGAGGUGAUACAGAUCACGAGGAGCAUUUGAGGCUUGUACUUCAAAAACUUCGGGAAAAUGAGCUUUAUGCCAAGCUGAGAAAGUGUGAAUUUUGGCUUCGAGAGAUAGCCUUCCUUGGACAUUUAAUAUCGGGAUCGGGUAUAGCCGUGGAUCCUAAGAAAAUUGAGGCUAUCAAGGAUUGGCCAAGACCGACGAGCGUUACGGAGAUUCGGAGUUUCCUUGGACUGGCCGGUUACUACCGGAGAUUUGUCGAGGGAUUUGCUAAGCUAUCUACUCCCCUCACGAGGCUCACGCAUAAAGGUGUUAAGUUCAUUUGGAAUGAUGCGUGCGAGAGAAGCUUCUAAGAGUUGAAGCAGAGACUGACGACCGCCCCUAUCCUAACCCUGCCAGUUGCUGGAGCAGGGUAUGUAGUUCCAGUGAUGCAUCUCUUAAUGGAUUGGGCUGCGUUUUGAUGCAGGAUGGCAAGGUGAUCGCGUAUGCUUCUCGCCAAGUGAAGGAUUAUGAAAAGAAUUAUCCUACGCACGAUUUGGUGUUGACGGCCGUAGUCUUCGCAUUGAAGUUAUGGCGCCACUACUUGUAUGGCGAGCGGUGUGAAGUAUACACGGAUCACAAGAGCUUAAAAUACCUGUUCACUCAGAAGGAGUUAAACUUGAGGCAGCACAGAUGGCUGGAGCUGCUUAAGGAUUAUGAUCUGAUGAUCCUAUACCACCCGGGCAAGGCUAACGUGGUGGCGGAUGCGCUAAGUAGGAAAUCAACGAAAAACUUAGCGAUGCAUGUUGUUACUCAACCGCAGUUGAUCGAGCAGAAGAAGCGGUUGGAGUUGGAGGUGGUGACUCCUGACACGCCCUUGAGGUUGAUGACUUUGGUGGUGCAACCUACACUUUUGGAUCGAAUUAAAGAAAAGCAAGUUUUCGAUAUGGAGUUGCAAAGGAUUAAAGGUAAAAUGGUUGAUGGUUGCACCGGCAAUUUCCUUGUGGAUGACCAAGGAUUGAUACGUUUCCGUGGACGGAUCUGUGUACCGGUGGAUUCGAGAAUUAAAGAGGAUAUUAUUCAAGAAGCGCACCGAGCGCCCUAUGCUAUACAUCCGAGAGGCACCAAGAUAUACAAGAAUUUAAAGUUGCUCUAUUGGUGGCCCGGGAUGAAAAAGGACAUUGGCGAGUUCGUACCUCGUUGUCUGACUUGCCAACAAGUAAAGACUGAGCACCGAUUACCCGCGAAAAAACUUCAGAGUUUGCCUAUUCCUGUGUGGAAGUGGGAGAAGAUCACCAUGGAUUUUGUAACUAGAUUGUCUCGCUCUCAGGCCGGGCAUGAUGCUAUAUGGGUGAUCGUGGAUAGGUUGACGAAGUCGGCGCACUUCAUACCUGUUCAUACUACUUAGACCGGAGAAAAGCUCGCACAAGUGUACCUUGAUGAGAUUGUGCGACUUCAUGGAGUACCUACAUCGAUCGUAUCGGAUCGAGACACUCGGUUUGUGUCUCAUUUUUGGAGGAGUCUACAGGACGCCCUCGGCACCCGAUUGGACUUCAGCACUGCUUUCCACCCUCAGAGUGAUGGGCAGUUGAAGCGCACAAUCUAGACUUUAGAGGAUAUGCUCCGAGCAUGUGUGAUAGACUUCCAGGGAGGAUGGUCGCAGCAUCUAUCGAUGGCGGAGUUUGCUUAUAACAAUAGUUAUCAAGCAAGCAUCAAGAUGGCGCCCUUCGAAGCACUUUAUGGACGGAAGUGUAGAUCGCCACUUCAUUGGAGUGAAGUCGGCGAGAGAUUGGCAUUAGGCCCUGAUGUGCUCCAGGAAGCUGAGGACAAGGUUCGAAUAGCUCGGGAGCGACUUUUGACGGUACAGAGUAGACAGAGGAGCUACGCCGAUCGACGAUGGCGAGACUUGGAGUUCCAAGUUAGAGACCAUGUUUUCUUAAAGGUCUCGCCAACUAGAGGGAUCAAGAGAUUCGAGAUUCGGGGUAAGUUGAGCCCCCGUUUCAUUGGACUGUAUGAGAUUUUGGAACGUGUAGGUUCGGUAGCGUAUCGACUUGCUCUAUCACCGAACCUAUCGGGCGUGCACAACGUCUUUCAUGUAUCGAUCCUUCGAAAGUACAUUUUUGACCCGACUCAUGUGUUGGAUGCUACACCUGUGGAGUUGCGGGACGACUUGAGCUUCGAGGAGCAACCAGUGAGGAUUUUGGCUCGCGAUGUGCGAAAACUGCGGAAUCGGUAUAUUCCGUAUGUGAAGGUUCUUUAGAGCAACCACUGAGAGCGGGAAGCCACGUGGGAGCUAGAGAGCGCGCAGCGGGAGCGUUAUCCCCAUCUUUUUCAGAUGGAGCUUUGAGGUAUGUGUUUGCUUUUGAGUUUCGCGGAUGAAACUCCUUUUUAGGAGGGGUAAACGUAAACACACUAGACCUGUGCAAAUUGCGAGGUUCGAGUGUUUGAUAUGGAUUCUGAACUUUCCACACUUGGUGGAAGGUCGUAGAUGGUAUUCCGGCCUAAAAGUUCGAUUUCUGAAAUUUUGGCUAAGUCCUGAGAGUUUUCACUCUCGGGGACCAGUCCCUGGCAGGAGAGACCGGUCCCCCCGGAACAGUAUUGCGGCAGGACUUGAGGCAAUCGGUCCCCUGGCCUAAGAGACCAGUUCCCGAACGUUGGUUUUGCGGGGCAGGCUGAGAGAACGGUCCCAGGUGUCGGGGAGAUUGGUCCCCCAGCACGAAAACUGCCCAGACCGAGCAGUGCACAGAUUGCACAGUUGAGGGACCUCAGUGGAUUUUGUUACCAUAUGUAACACACUGGACCUUUGCAAAUUGCAAGGUACGAGUGUUUGAUUGGUUUUCCAAGCUUUUCCACACUUUGUGGAGGGUCGUAGACAGUGUUCCGACCUAUGGUUCGAAUCCCGAGAAGUGAGGUUUAAAGCUUAGCACCAAAACCCAAAAAGUCGGAUUUUUGGUCAGCUCUCGGGUAGCCUUCAGCAGGCCGUGUACCGGUACAGGGUUGAUGGCUGUACCGGUACAGGGUUGAUGGCUGUACCGGUACGCGGCUGAUGGUGUACCGGUACACAGGCAGUUUUGAGCCAACCCGAGGCUCGGGUUUGGCAUUUUCGUGGGAGGUGUACCAGUACGCGGGCCCGUGUACCGGUACGCAGUGGCAGAUUUUGAGCAGUUUCAACUGCAGGGGGGUUUUUGCGAUUGUGGCCUUCUAUAUUACCACGCACGCCCCUUAGGGCUCCCCCCUGUGCUGAGAUCAGUGGAGACAAGGUAAGAGAAGCUCCUCCUUGCCUCUCUUUGGAUUUGAUCUCCUUUCUACUUGGGUUUUAGAGGUUUAAUCCCUUCUUUGUGCUUUUGGUGCAUUCUCCACCAUGAAUGAAGCUUGGACCUUGGAUUUGAAGCUUGAUUGGGGGAAGAUCCUUGAAGUUUGAGGACUUUGAGCUUGGAUUGAAGCCUCUAAAAGGUUAGUAGCAAGAUCUACGAGGAAGUGUUAGAUCGCGCGCUUUGGGUGGAGCGCGGCAAUGCCAUUGCGCGUGAUGAGCGCGAGGCAUUUGAGAAAGAUAAGGAAAAGGACAAGUCCAAGAAGCGGGCAGCUGGUGGAUCUGCGAGGCAGUCGAGCUUUAAGCGACCCCCGCGACCACAGCGAUCGUACGGGCGGGGAGCCAGGAGCCAGACGACUUCCUUCCCGUGUAUUAUUUGCGGCGGGAAUCAUAGGCCCAGGGACUGCUCCUAGCGCGAGGGGAGCUGUUACCGAUCCGGCUCUGCUGGACAUAUGAGUUGGGAGUGCCCGGGCGGCGCAUCCCCAGCUCCGUCAUCAGCUUCAGUUCAGUACACCCCACGGCAGCAGGCGGGACUGCCACCCGCCGUAUCUGCUGGACGAUCGUCGGCGCCUCGUCAGCCGGAGGCCUCUCAAGCACCUAGUGGGCGGGUAUUUGCCACUCAGGUGGAGGAGCCGCCGAUUACCGUUCCCGACGACGUCAUGGCAGGUAUUAUUCUUAUCAAAGGCACUAGAGCUAGAGCAAUAUUCAAUACUGGUGCAUCGCAAUCAUUCAUAACAGCAUCAUUUGCACUAGCUCGUGACGUAGAGGUUACGCAUUAUGAGGAUUAUUGGACGGUGACCGCACCUUGACUUACGUUUCAUGUGCAUGACGAGUGUUUAGACCAGUACAGAUAGGCGAUUGGAUCAUGCCGAUCGACCUAUUAGUGUUGAAACAACUAUGGGGAUUUGAUGUAAUCUUGGGCACCAACUGGCUCUCCAAGUACUACGCAGUUAUCGAUUGCGAAAGGAAGGUGAUCACCUUUCGUGAGUCUAACCAAGAGGAGAUAGUUUAUAAGGCGUGUAAUGGCGCGCGUUUCGCGGCGACCAUAUCGUCAGUAAGGGCGAAGAAAAUGAUUAAGGGUGGUUGCAAGGCCUAUUUGGCGACCAUCGUGGACCCUCAAAAGGAACACCCAGAGUUGGAAAAUAUUUGGGUAGUAUGCGAGUAUCCGGAUGUAUUUCCAGCGUAGUUACCGGGAUUCCCACCGGACCGGGAAGUCGAGUUUCUCGUUGACCUGAUUCCCGGGGUGGCGCCAGUUUCGAAAGCUCUGUAUGGAAUGGCACCGGUAGAGCUAAAGGAGCUAAAAGCCCAGUUGCAAGACUUGCUCAAUAAGGGCUUCGUACGGCCGAGUGUGUCUCCAUGGGGAGCUCCGGUGCUAUUUGUAAAGAAGAAGGACGGCACACUACGACUCUGCGUUGAUUAUCGCGAGUUGAACAAGGUGACGAUCAAGAACAAAUACCCGUUGCCGAGGAUUGAUGAUCUGUUUGAUCAGUUGCAGGGGUCAAGGGUAUAUUCUAAGAUUGAUCUGCAGUCGGGAUAUCAUCAGUUGAAGAUACGGCCCAAAGACGUGCAUAAAAUGGCAUACCAUACGCAGUAUGGCCAUUAUGAGUUUACGGUCAUGCUCUUCGGGCUCACUAAUGCCCCGGCGGCAUUUAUGGACCUAAUGAAUCGAGUCUUCCGUCCGCUAUUGGACCGAUGCGUCGUGGUAUUCAUUGACGACGUAUUGGUAUAUUCUCGGACCGAGGAAAAACACGAGGAGCAUUUGAGGAUCGUGUUGGAGACACUUCGAAAAGAAAAGCUUUAUGAAAAAUUAAAGAAGUGUGAAUUUUGGCUUUUGAAGGUUACUUUCUUGGGUCACGUUAUAUCCGGAGAUGGCAUCUCGGUGGAACAAAGAAAGUUGAGGCGAUUAAAGAUUGGCCUUGCCUAACAAGUGUGGCGGAGAUCCGUAGCUUUCUUGGACUUGCGGGCUACUACCAGCGGUUCGUGGAAGGGUUUGCCAGGAUAACAACUCCACUAACGCGCCUUACGCACAAAGGGGUGAAGUAUGUUUGGAGCUCCGAGUGUGAGCGGAGCUUUGAGGAGCUAAAGAAUAGACUGACAUCUACUCCGGUGCUUGCCUUGCCGACGCCGAGAGAGAGCUAUGUAGUAUACAGUGAUGCCUCUUGUAUCGGUCUCGGGUGUGUUUUGAUGCAAAAUGGCCGAGUUAUAGCUUAUGCUUCGUGCCAAUUGAAAAGUUAUGAAAAGAACUACCCGACUUACGAUCUUGAGCUAGCAGCGGUUAUUUUCGCGCUAAAAUUGUGGAGGCAUUACAUGUAUGGCGAGCAUUGUGAGAUCUACACGGAUCACAAGAGCCUCAAAUACUUGUUCACCCAGAAGGAGUUAAAUUUGCGACAGCGGCGGUGGUUGGAGUUGUUAAAAGAUUAUGAUGUCACGAUUCUUACCACCCCGGGAAAGUGAAUGUUGUGGCCGAUGCGCUAAGUAGAAAGUCGGCGAAAAAUUUAGCGAUGGCAAUUACACCCCAACCAGCAUUGCAAAAGGAGAUGCAACGGUUUGGACUUGAAGUUGUGGCGCUGGAAGUGCCGGCAACACUUGCCACGUUGAUUGUACAACCGACCUUGUUGGAAAGGAUUAAAGAAUUGCAAGUUUCCGAUUCAUUUCUCCAAAAGGUGCGGGGUAGAGUUAAGAGCGGUAGUGCCGAUGAUUUUGGCAUUGGGACCGACGGUGCACUACGAUAUCGGAAUCGUUGGUGCGUGCCCAAGGACGAUGACCUGCGGAGGGCGAUUAUGCAAGAAGCGCAUCAAUCUCCCUAUAGUAUUCACCCGGGCGGCACUAAGAUGUAUCGAGAUCUUAAAUUACAUUAUUGGUGGCCGGGCAUGAAGAAAGAUAUAGGAGAGUUCGUGGCACAGUGUCUCACGUGCCAACAAGUAAAGGUGGAACGUCGAUUUCCGGCGAAAAAAUUGCAAAGUCUACCUAUACCCGUGUGGAAAUGGGAAAACAUCGCAAUGGAUUUCGUGACGGGUUUGCCUAGAUCACAAAGUGGACAUGACGCGAUUUGGGUAGUUGUGGACCGGUUGACAAAAUCGGCACACUUUUUGCCGAUCCACACUACUUGGUCUGGAUGCAAGUUAGCUCAAGUCUAUCUCGACGAGGUGGUGAGACUUCACGGGGUUCCAGUAUCUAUCAUAUCGGAUCGGGACCCGAGGUUCACAUGACAUUUUUGGAAGAGCUUGCAAGAUGCAUUGGGCACAUGGCUCGACUUUAGUACGGCAUUCCAUCCUCAAAGUGGCGGUCAAUCAGAGAGGACUACUCAAAUACUUGAGGACAUGCUUCGAGCGUGUGUACUUGAUUAUAAGGGCGGAUGGCACGAACACUUAUCGAUGGAGGAAUUUGUAUACAACAAUAGUUACCAAGAAAGUAUUGUGAUGGCGCCAUUCGAGGCCCUGUAUGGAAGGAAGUGCCGCUCGCCAAUUCAUUGGAGCGAUGUGGGCGAGAAAGUUGUUCUUGGCCUAGAUGUUGUGCGGGAGGCGGAGGAGAAAGUUCGCCUUGCCCGACAAAGAUUAGUGACGGCGUAAUCGAGGCACAAGAGUUAUGCCGACAAGCGACGCAAGGAUAUUGAGUUUGCGGUUGGCGACCGUGUAUUCUUAAAAGUAUCGCCGAUGCGAGGAGUUAAGCGGUUCGGUGUUCGCGGGAAGCUAAGUCCCCGCUAUAUUGGACCCUUCGAGAUUUUGGAACGAGUUUGCGCGGUGGCCUACAGGUUGGCAUUACCACCUAGACUCGCAGGAGUACAUGAUGUAUUCCAUGUAUCCCAACUCCGCAAGUAUGUUUACGAUUACGAGCAUGUUCUCGCACACGUACCGAUGGAGCUUCAAGAGGAUAUGACAUACGAAGAGUUCCCGAUUUACAUCAUAGAUCGGGAAGUAAGGAAACUUCGGAACCGCGAAAUCCCGUAUGUUAAAAUUCAUUGGAACGAACACGACGAUCGAGAAGAAACUUGGGAGCUUGAGGACGUGAUGAGAGAGCGUCAUCCUCAUCUCUUCGAAGAGCAGGGUUGAGGUAUGGGUUUAGACUUCGAGCAAGUAGUUUCGCGGACGAAACUAAAUUUUAGGGGUGGAGAAUGUAACAUAUCACAUCCCUCGUAAAGAGUGCCGAGUUCCGUCGAAAUAGGCGGAAUGCGGGGUGGAACAAAUUAGUAUGGGCCAGUAGUGUUGUCACGCCCCGGGACCCAGCGGAAGCCCGCCCGGCACGUGCCCAGACCCGCCAUACGUCUAAAACAUAUAAGGCGUCUAAAAACAACAAUAAUAAAAGCAAUAAUAAAAGACAUCUAGGAGUAUCAGAGCAUAAUAAAUGUCUAAAUGCUACAACAAGGGAUAAGGAUAAAAUUGUAAAUCCACUAAAUAAAACAUAAAGUGAUACAAGGAAGUCCUAGAUACAAGUGCUAUAGGUAGAUACAUAGGUGGUCUCUAUACAUGGAUACAAAAACCUCUCACUCACUCAACUACAAAAAGAAAGAGUAAACCACCUAGGCAAAGUACCGCUCCUCGCUAGCUAGCUAAGCGAUCCCUUGCCGCGAUCCCGUGCCUCCGCCGGUGCCGAAGGCUCUGAAAAGNNNNNNNNNNNNNNNNNNNNNNNNNNNNNNNNNNNNNNNNNNNNNNNNNNNNNNNNNNNNNNNNNNNNNNNNNNNNNNNNNNNNNNNNNNNNNNNNNNNNAUAUAUAUAUAUAUAUAUAUAUAUAUAUAUAUAGUUGAGCUAGAAUACUCUCGAUAGUAAACGAGCCGUUUUAUUAUCGAGUUGUUUUCGAUGAUAGAGCUUUCAAAUUGACGAUCGGCUCCGUUAAAUAUGAUCUAAACCAUUCAAACUACCUAGAAAUCAAAUUUCACGCACUUUCGAUAUUAUUUUUUAUCCAUCUAGUGAACAGAAAAAUUAAUGGCUGAAAUAAAUAUUCUUUAAAAAAUAAUGAUAGGAGUCUUGUAAUCAAGAUCAAGAGUAUAGAUAUUGUUUUAAAUAGUUUAAAGAAUUUUCUAACAAAAAUUCAAUUGAUUUGGAUAUCUUUACACCGUUAAACAAGAAAACGUCCCUUAUCCACCAUUAAAAUUACAAAUUUUGAAACCCUUUAAUCAUUAGGCAAAUGAUGUCGAAAAGAUUUGGAAUUUGAUUUCUAAACACUUCAAGUGGUAUAGAUCAUGUUCAACGGAGCGAUCGUCAAUUUGGAAGCUUUAUUAUCGAAAACAACUCGAUAGUAAAACGGCUCGUUUAUAUAUAUAUAUAUAUAUAUUAUAUAUAAAAAAAUACUAUUUAGUAUAUAUAUAUUAUAUAUAUAUUAUAGAGUUAUAAAUUUAGAGAUAUUAAUCAAUAAUUAUAAAUUUUUAAAUAAAAUAUUAUAUAUAUAAUAAAUAUAUAUAUUUAUAAAUAUGUAUAAUAAUUUUUUACCAUCUUUUAUAUAUAUAUAUAUAUAUAUAUAUAUAUAUAUGAAAAGAGUGGGUGAGUGGUCCAUUUGGACCACUCACGCGGUCCACGAGGACCAGGCUUUCUCGUGGACCACCCCUUUUGGAGCGGCUGUGAGCCGCGCCUUUUGGAGCAAGUUUUCGUUUUCCGCGGAAGGAUGGCGGAAAACGAAAACUCGGUUUUUCCGAGAAUCUGUAAAAAAAAUUUUCCAACAAUUUUUUUUUCCGAGCAACCAAACAAGGGAAAAUCGCUUUUCAACCGAAAAUUUGUUUUCUGAGCACUUUUACGGGCAACCAAACACCGCCUAAUACAUCAUAUUUUCCUCGGUCAUGAUGUAAAGAAGUUUGGGUGGGUCUGUACAAAUUUGACUUAUAAUAAGCAUUGCGAGAAACAAAUCGUCUCGACUUUGAUUUUUUUAAAAUGUGGGGAAGCGAAUCUUUCAAAUUGUGGAAAACUUUGGGUACUUUUAUCAGUUGUCUUUGAGAUUUGUGCUUUAUUUUGUGUUCUUCGGAAAGAAAUCUCUAGCGUUAUCAUCUGUAAAGUCUCUUUUGCUACGUUCUUCCUUAGUUGAUUAAUUAGCACAGCACCUAUCAGAAAACCAUCAUCUGUUACAUCCUUGCUCGUUGGACAAUGUAGAGAAUUUGUAUGCAGGUGUUCUUAUGACAUUUUUGCUGUGAAAAAUUCUGAUUUUGUCACAAAAUUUACUUUUGACCCUCCUACGAGUAAUCCGUGGUUAUUUUACUGGUGAUGGAACAAAAAGGUGAAUUUAUAAUUAAAUAUUUUUCUAGGGAAGGGAACUAAAGUGUACUAUGUACGAAAAUUUAGAUAUUAAACUAUAGAAGUGAACAGUGUGGAGAUUACAUUGCCGUCUCAGAACAAUAUAUAUGGAUUAUUCAUAUAUAAGAAGAACGCUCUCUGUGCAUUCAUAAAGUGUAAAUAAAUCUAACAUUCUAUUUCAAUUAACAUUCUAUGUCAUGCUCCGAAUUGCCACGUUUCUCUAGACACGCCAACAGACUCGUCAUAUAUACAGAAAUUUUUCGUGUAUGCGAAGCGAUAGCUAUAUCUGCAAACAAAUAGAAGCUACAAUCAAAGCAUAGAACUGCUAAAUGAGAAACAUAUAUAAAUAAGGAUAUACUAAGUCCACUGUACAUACAACAUCCAAAACACAACCUCGAUCCAAAGUGAACAACCAAACAUAACUGUAUGUACAUAACAACAACCCAAACUACCUCUGAAGGGGUACUCCCUGCUGACGGGAUCCACCAGACCGCUCUCGCCCCGAAGGCCCAUGACCCUGAGAGCGUGAUCGUCGAGGCCUCGGCGGACGUCUACCACUGGUCAGUCCCCCGUUGGAACCGAGCGCUUCCUGUCCUAACCCUGCUCCGUCACCGUCGCCCGCUCACGGACCGAUACAGCUCCUCGCACAACCCACAAUGCCUGCUCAAUCGACGCAUCCAAGAUCUGCAACCUUUUGCAAUACCGGUCGCUCCUCACUGACAGAUCACCUUGGGUCGUAGAGACAUGGGUGAGUAGAGUCUCUGCUUGGCGGAGUGAGGCUUUUCUUGAGUUGGGUGAGUACUCCUGCACGGACUGAUCACCAUGGGUCGUAGAGGCAUGGGUGAGUGCGAUAGAGAAGUUGUUUGAGGAUCUCUUUGUACCGGAACAAGAGCAGAUCCACUUGGCAGUACAUUGUUUGGCGGGUGAUGCGCAUGCCUAGUGGAGAAGGAUGCGGCAGAACCGAGGUUUGGAUGCACUGCAAAUGAGAUGGGACGAGUUUCGUGGGAUGCAGCAUGGGGCCUAUUUCCCAAGCAGCGUAAAGCAGAAAUUCGAGGAGGAUCUGAAGAAGCUGCAGCAAGGUGAUCAGUUAGUGCAGAAAUAUACUCGAGAAUUUACCAGGCUUCUAAACUGUGUGCCUUUUAUAGUUAGGGAUGAAGCUCAUAAGGUGUAUCUGUAUGAGAGAGGAUUGAUGUCAGAGAUUUUUGUGUUAGUACAAGCUCUGUCACUCCCCGUAUUGCCACGUUUUUCCGGGCACGCCAACAAACUUGCCAUAUAGAUAAUAAUUUUUCAUGUAUACGAAGCGAUAGCUAUGCUUGCAAACAAACAAGAGUUACAACCAAAGUACAGAGUUGCUAAAAAAGAAACAUAUAUAAAUAAGGAUAUACUAAGUCCACUGUACAUACAACAUCCAAAACACAACCCCGAUCCAGAGUGAACAACCAAACAUAACUGUAUGUACAUAACAACAAUCCAAACUACCUUUGAAAGGGUGCUCCUCUAGCACAGUGAUCAGGGAUGGUAGGGGUUUAGCUCAUGACUUUCUUACCGCGGUCUGAAGCAGCAGCAGACGGCUCUGCAAAAAUGUGGCAUAACAGGAUGUGAGAACUACUGCAAAACAGAGUAGUCCUCAGUGGGUACCAUCACCGACUCCAACAGCCCACCCACUAAGUUUACAGUAAGGUAUGCAAAGGAUAGUAAAAUAAGCUGGAAGUAACUCUACAGCUAUAUGCUACUAAACUACUGCUAUCCAACCAUGCUCUCUGUAGACAUAGAAAUACAUCACAAGCUACACACUGACCCAAUCUCCAGGAACUGCCGACUGGCCCGUCCAGCAUGUAUCCAAGCUACACCGCACACACCUCUCCUGUACUGGUACUCAACACUCAAAAUCCCGCCAUUUGCAGAUUUCGGUGUCCAAAUUCCAACCCUCACAGCUCUGAGUCCGUUUUUGCGUCCAUUUCGCGCUAAAACAACUCCGACUAGUUCCGACACUCUACAGAUGUAUCGACAAGCCACUGACGCUGCAGUCCCUCAGACAGCUAGACCCCCAGGGACACUACAUCCUUCCUCACUAACAAAAAUUUUUGUCAUCGAAACUUAAAAUCAUACCUCAAUACGGUGCCUCAAACAGGUAGGGGGUAGGACUCUCGCAUCACAGCCUCCGGCUCCCAAGUCACCUCAUGCUCCUCAUGAUUACUCCACUGCACUUUCACGUACGGUAUGAUCCAGUUGCGCAAUUCUUUCUUCUCACGAGCAAGAAUCCGCACCGGUCGCUCCUCGUACCUCAGAUCCUCGCCCAACUCAAGUGGAGUGAAGUCAAUCACGCGUGAGGGGUCAAACACGUAUCUCCUUAAGGUCGAGACGUGGAACACAUCGUGAAUACCGGCAAGUCGCAGGGGUAGUGCAAUCCUGUAAGCCACUGGCCCAACUAGCUCCAAAACAUCAAAAGGACCAACAAAUCGUGGACUAGGCUUUCCAUGAACUCCAAAUCUGCGAAUCUCUCUGGACGGCUUCAGGAAUACGUGGUCACCAACUUGAAACUCUAAGUCUCGUCUCCGGGUAUCAGUAUAGCUCCUCUAUCGACUCUGGGCAGUCUCAAGAUAUCGUCGCACAACUUUGACCUUUUUCUCUACCUCCAGUAGAAUAUCAGGACCCAAAGUCUUCCUCUCACCCACAUCACUCUAAUGCAACGGUGAUCGACAGUUGCGUCUAUAGAACGCUUCAAAUGGAGUCAUUCGAAUGCUCACCUGAUAGCUGUUGUUGUACGCAAACUCAACCAAUCUCAAGUGUCGAUGCCACUCUCCUCCAAAAUUCUGGACACAAGCUCUAAACAUAUUCUCCAGAGUCUGAAUGGUCCGCUCAGACUGACUAUCUGUCUGUGGGUGCAAUGCUGUACUAAAAUAAAGCUUUGUACCCAAAGCCGUCUGAAGGCUCCUCCAAAAAUGCGAAACAAAUCUCGGGUCUUUAUUUGAUACAAUUGAGAUAAGUACUCCAUGUAACCUCACUAUCUCGUCCACGUACAACUGGGCGAGUCACUCCCUGAACCAAGUGUUCUGCACGGGUAGUAAGUGAGCAGACUUGGUUAGUCUGUCCACUAUUACCCAUAUAGCAUCAAAUCCACCAUGCGUCAUUAGUAAACCCACGACAAAAUCCAUAGUAAUAUGAUCCCACUUCCACUCUAGCACUGGAAGAUUCUUAAGCUUGCCAAGAGGUACACGAUGCUCCGCCUUCACCUGUUGGCAUGUCAGACACUGAGCCACACAUCUUCCAAUGUCUCUCUUCAUCCCAUUCUACUAGAAGUGUGCUUUCAAAUUCUUAUACAUCUUGGUUCCACCAGGGUGAACCGUAUAAGAUGAGUAGUGAGACUCUCUCAAAAUUCCCUCUCGAAUCUCUGAAUUCAUAGACACACACAGUCGGUCCCUAUACUGUAGUACUCUCGAAUUGUCAACAACGAAGUCCUCUACUUGUCACCUCUCUAUCUGAUCCUAUCCAACAGAAUAGGCUGCAAGACCAUAGACAUCAGUCUCACAGUGGUCCCAGGGGACACCACCUCAAGUCCAAACCAGUGUAACUCCUCAAGCAAAGGUCGCUGAUAUGUGAUCAUCAUACUAAGGACUGCACUGACAUUCUGCUCAACGCAUCUGCCACCAAAUUCGCCCUGCCGAGGUGAUACUGAAUGCUGAUAUCAUAAUCCUUCAAUAACUCUAACCACCGGCGCUGCCUCAGUUUCAAUUUCUUUUGGGUGAACAAAUACUUAAGACUUUUAUGGUCGGUGAAAAUCUCGUAGCGCUCACCAUAUAGAUAAUGCCGCCACAACUUCAGUGCAAACACCACAGCGGCAAGCUCCAAGUCAUAUGCCGCCACAACUUCUUUUCCCUCAGAAACUGCAACACAAUCCUCAAGUGCUCCUCAUACUCCGCAUCACUCCAGGAGUAAAUCAGAAUAUCAUCAAUAAAUAUCACAACACACUACAACAAAAUUAAUUUUUUAUGGCCAUUUAUUUGUGGCCAUUUAGAAAUCGCAUCUAAAUGUUUUACUUUUGUGGCUAAAUUUAAUAGUUUGCCACUAUUUUAAUUUGAUAUGAAUUUCUAGAUAUUAAUUAUGGGAAAUUUUUUAAAAUGGCCGCAGAUUAUGGGUACUUUUAGUAGCUAAAUUUAAAUUUCGUCACUAAAAAAAGAAUGUAAUUUCUGUGGUGACCUAUUUCUCAAUAAAUGUACAAAAUGUUAGUGGCGGACUGUAAGUUUGGUCAUUAAAAAUACUCUUUAUUUUAGUGGCUUUUUAUUUUCCUAUAAAUGUUUCGUGUAUUAGUGGCAAAUUUAUAUUUUGCUACUAUUGUAUUUUAGUGUUAUUUUAUUCACAUUAUUUGUAGAAGUUUUUAAAAAUAGCUAUAAAAUAUAUUUAAUUAUAGUAGCAAUAGUUUAAUUUUGCCACUAAAAUAUGUCCAUUACAUUAGCGGCCAUAUUUAAAAAUGCCGCAAAUUAUGGGUACUUUCAGUGGCCAAAUUUAAAUUCUAUCACUGAAAAGAAAAUGUAAUUUCUAAAUGUAGGGAAUGUUAGUGGCAGACUGUAGGUUUGGCUAUUAAAAGUACUCUUUAUUUUAGUGGCUUUUUAUUUUCCUAUAAAUGUUUCGUGUAUUAGUCGGCAAAUUUUAUAUUUUUGCUAGCUAUCUGGUAUUCUACGUCUUAUUUCAUGCAUAGUAUUCUGUAGAAGUUUUUAAAAAACUAGUAGUAAACAUCAUAGAUUUUAAUCUAUAGUAGGCAAUCAGUUUCAAUAUUGGCCCUAAAAUCCAAGCUGUCAGUCGUUACAUUAGUCGGCCAAUGCAGUGUGGCCAAAUCAAAAAUUUUGAUUAUAUUCUGUGAUAGCUACAACCCCGUCUACCCUCCUUUUAGCUGAUACAGAGCGUGUCUUCGAUUUACCAUAGCAUCUUAACCACUUCCUUCGUGUGACAGUCAUACAGACAUCACAUCCGAGCCUCAAGCCUAAUUUUUUGUUUUUGCCAUUAAUACCUAGAGUCAGACAUGAAAUUUUUGUUGUCAGAAAAUAUCCUCCAAAUAUUGUUUUAUUUGCAAAUCUUACAAUUAAUUUUCUUAACUUUAAACUUCUCAGUUAACAUCAUACCAGUUGACCCAAUUUAGAAAUUAACUUUUUAGUUUCUACGAUUCUAAUUUGAACUGUAAAUAAAAAAUAAGAAAUUUUAAUUUAAAAUUUAUUGUUUAGUAUCUCAACAAUAAUAACAAUUUUAUAUACCGAUUUUAAAUAAAUUUUUAUAGACUUAAAAAUUGAAAUUUACAUUGCUAAUUUCAAGUACAAAUUUGAUCAAAUAAAACAAUUAAACCUUUUAUCUUUUGAUAGUUUCAUCUCAGUUUCAAAAAUUUUAAUUUUUUAAAGAAAUUAUAUACGUUAGUGAGAAACAUUUCUAAUUACCAACGAAUGAUAAUAAAAUCAAAUAUAGAUAAUACUUCAGGGGUGCAAAGUGCAUUUACUCAAAAGAAAAUCCUAACCUCUCUCGGGCGUACCUGCGGAAUAAACUUAAAUCUAGAAACGUCCCAAUAGAUACGAGCUAAAGAUUUCUAAUUAAUCAUACUCAUUAACUACUAGAGUCCAAAUAUUCGGCGCUAAGUGACUGCGUAACCCUAAUUUAAUCAUGGAUCAGGCCCCACGAAACUUUUUAUCCUUUAAUAGAUAGCGACGGCUAGAUUCUAAUAUAAUCAUAUACUACUACGUAUGAUACUCCUACUAUACUUGAUAUAUAGCAAUCAUAUAUAAUAUAAAUAUAAUAUAAAAAAAUAAAUAAAAAACAAAUAAAUCAACAUAACAUACCAAAGACAGAUAUCAUCACGUAAACAUAACCCCCGCUCGGCCCUCUCCGCCUCCUCCUCCUUCCUGAUAUUGUCGCGUAAAAACCCCGUCGGCCCCGCUCCGGCUAGCAUUAGCCCGUAGUAACAGGCCGGCUUUUUUCAACCUUCAUUCGAGCGUACUUACAUUCGGCGACCACGGCCUCCAGCGUCCGCCGCGUCUACUUCUUCUCGAGGUCAACAACAAUCGCAAUAAUUAUCUCGAAAAAAUAUACUUUCUGAAGGACUGUAAAAGAUUAUGUUUCUUGGUAUAUCGUGAUUUCACCAUACUUUUUUACGGCAUUUAGCGGUGUCUUUUUUGAUUUGAUGUAGCAAGGUGGUGGCAAAAAUAUUUGAAUAAAAAAAUAAUUUUAACGGAAUCGUUGUGAGUUUUACAUAAUAUUUUUUCUUCAUUCAAAAUUUCAACUCUUAGCAUAAUUCGUUUCCAACUCGAGCGCUGUCCGUCGCCUGAAAAUGCACAAGCGGGAGGCACAUGAAAUUAAUCGCAUGAGAAAGACGACGUUUUUCUGCUCGAGGCCUUCGAAUGGUCCCCCGCCGAAAGACGAAAAGGCGGGCAGCGCAUGAAAUGUAAUAAGCAUGAGAACAACGAAAAGCGGGAGUGCUGCUCAUGCGCAGACGCGGCCCCCACGAGGUUUCCGGCUCGUGUGACGCCCUCCCCUACGCGGCUCAAAUUAUAUAACCUAUACUAUAAACCUUCAUAUAUACAAACUAAUACUACCUAUAUAUAAUACCUACGCUAUACUGAUUACCCUAUACAGCGUAGAGUAUACCCUAGCUACCCUUUAAAUGUUCAUAAUAGUGAUUAAUAAUAUACUAGUCCUUGUAUACAUUAUUUACUUAAUAUUCUUAAACUUUAUGACUUUUAUACUAUUCCACAUAUGUAAGCAUCAUGUUUAAUUUUAUUUUAGGAUUAUAUUUACAUUUAUACACUAGAAAAUUCAUCAGAUCAAUAAUUAUUAAUACUAUACGCACACAUAGUAAUUUUAAUAUAUAUGACAAUACAUCCUAUUUACCAUAAAAAAAUAUUAACACUACGUUUUCAUCCUAAAUUUUGUUUCAUUAUACGCACCCAAACAACUGUCAUAGGAAAAAAUUUCCAACGACAAUUUUUUUUUCCGGCAAUUCUUACGUGGCAAACACCCCCCCGGAAACACAACCCUUGCAGCCAUCUUUGAUCAUUAUUGUUCUCCAAGUAAUCCAUCCUUUUAGUAUUUCUGUCUAAUCUUUGUUUUUCAUUUUUGUUGCAAACAAAUAAAUUCUUAGAAUGUCGGAGUUGGAAACAAAAAAAAAAAAAAUUUGUCACCCCAUUUUUACCUAUUUGCAGUUUGAAUACUCAAACUCUCGUUUGGUUGGGCUAUUUUUGAGCUCAACAAAAUCGCAAUGUCUACGUCGACAUCCUCAUUUGCACUCCCUCAUUUGCAAAAGGAAGUUUUUUCGUUUAAUUAUUCUUUGCUGGCCUCAAAAUAUUUUUCUCUAUAUCGCACGACAAUCCCAGAAAUUUUUUAGCCUAUUCAUCUUUUUUUUCAAAUAAACAACGUGAUUUCAAGACAGUAAGGACUAAACAAAGCCAGCACCAAGAUAACCACUCAUAUACUCAUCAAUCUUUUGAAAUUUCUGAAUUUUGACCAUUUAAGACUUGAAAUUAAAAUUAAAAAUUAAAUCAUGUUAAAUUUUAAAUUUAAUAAUUUAACAUCUAAAUUUUAAAUUUUAAACAUUUUAAUUUUUAAUAAUUCAAAUUUAAAUAAAAAGACAUACUAUACCCACCCAUCUUUAACAAAUCUGAAAUAUGAAUUUAAAUUCACAAAUCUUGAACUCUAAAAAGAUUUUAAAAUAAAAAGUAUUAGAAAAUUUGAGUCCCAAAAUUAAGAAUCAAGACUUUCAUCAAAGCAACAUUUUGACGUGAUUCUUGAAAUUUUUAGGCCUGAAAACUAAAAAGAUUAAAUCAUAACACAUCAAGAAUCAAGAUUUAUGAAAAUAAGGUUGCCAACAUGCCUCCUAUACGAAAUUUAGCAAACGAAUACAUACUAAAAGUAACAUAUAAACUCUCAAAGUAAUCCUAAUAGACAAAUCAAGACACCAUUCUACUGUCUAUAAAGUUUUGGCUUUAUUAUCUUUUAGAGUUGGCAUAUACUCCGCCCCUUUAUAUAAUAGUGGCAUGGCGGAUAUUUUUUAAUAUCCGAUAUAUUCGCAAGAUUACUAUAAUAUAUACGAUGGACUAAAAGUCUGAUGGGUAUCUGAAAUAGACACCAUCCGAAGUUCAGAACAGCGAGUGAAUGGUUUUCUUGACUUCCGCAUUUUGCCACCAUGUCAAGGGCGGAGGAAGAUAAAAUUCGAUUGUCACUGUUACUAAAGUGUGGUCAACUGGUCCUUUUUCAUACUCGAGAGGCUUGUAUUCGGUCUCUUAUCCUUGCGCAUGGGGAUCAAUUAAAAGAUUAUAAAUUGGUGGUCGACGUCAUCGGGGAACCAUUCCAAGAUCGAGGUAGUGACGAAGUAGCGGACAGUAAUAAUGAAGAACACAGUAAAGGAGGAGUAGUGAUGAUGAAUGCAUCGAACUUCUACAAGCACUUCGGAACCCCAAUUCACGAGAGAUACUAACACACGACUCGCACCACUUAAGACUUUCUGCAUGAACUCAACUCCCCGCACGUCCCAAAAAAUUUUUACAAUUAUUGAUGGACGCCAAAUCAACGCACCCCAAAGAAUUGUAAUCCGGAUUCGUCAACGCAGUUUUUCACAACUCAGAAUCAUUGUAAAUCUAUUACAACAUUAAACUGUCUUCGAUCCGGUCUCGGGCCACGUGCACACACUCCACUUCUUACGUCUUCGGUUAUAACUCAACCUGACAAAAAGAGCACCUUCAGCUGGCUCGACCACUUUCACACCACAAACCCAACAACACACUCAUCUCCAUGAACACCCGCCGCACAAAAUAUACACACUCACGCAACGGACUUCCUAGUUCUGGAUUCACUCCACCUACAAAAUCCUUCGAUGAUCGUAAACCAACUGUUCGCUCCACUCUCCCCACUCAUUUCCCGCAACCGAACACCACCCCGAGAAAUAUGAUAAUUGGGUCCAGUGUGUGAAGCUUCUAGGUGGAAACAUGGUGAUGGAUAAAUUCAAAAUAACAUUCGUGCAGUACGCAUAAAGAUGGCAAAAAAGAAUCUCCAACAAAAAUGCUUCUGCGGGCUAUUUUCCUCUCGACCCAAAGAUUGCAAAGAUUAUCUAUGUCAUCGAAGACUGUUUCUCACAUGAGAAUGCGCAUAACAGAGAAAUAAUGUUGUGAUGGCUGUAUUAAGACAUCCUGCUGAUUCUUUAGCAUCCGGAAGUCGUUUUGAUGAUUACAAUCCAUCCUUGCGUUUUGAUCCACGGUAAUCGCAUCAGCCAGUUUAGCGUUUUAAGCAAGUGAAAAAUGGCUUUAAUCCUUUAGGAAAUAUGAGUAACUUCCUAAUAGUUGAUGGCCAGUUGGUCUUAGUUGUAUACAAUUUCGCCAACAUCGGAUGUUGUUCACAUGCACGCUCUCUUAUUUCAUAUUGUCAAUGCUUUAAUCUGGGCCCCAAAGCCCCAAGGGAACUGAUUUCGGAUCCGCGUAUACCUUACACCUCUAAUAGAUUUUGAAUUUAAUAUGGAUUAGUGACGAGUGUCAGCGGCGGCACGUCCUGAACAACUUAUGAUGCCUCUAAGUAAAUUCCCAAUUACUCAACUCUAUGCUUCAUUAUUCGUGCGACUAUAAAUGGACCCUUUCCAGCAUCACUGCGCAAUUUAUGCUGGUGGCAGCACCUAAAGCCGAGCAUUAGCCGUUGUCCUAAUUCGCACAUAAAGAUACUCACCUCGCUCUCUGCUGCACUUCGAUUAACAGCAUGGGCGAGAAAAUGCUGUUAUAUGGGACACUGCCGACGCUUGCUCUUAAAACGCGAUCCCAAUAAUAUGGCGUCAGAAGAAUAAAAAGUCCUUUUUGAUGGAAAAAGCAUAGAAAAACUCCAAAAGCACCAAAAUAAUUAUUUGGUGAUGGCAUACUUUGAGCUAAGCAAGAUCUGUACAAAUUGUGCACAAAUUGCAACUCACAGAAAAAAGACAGCCGGCAGUGAAUCCUAUCUUAAUAUUAUGAUUGGAAAAAAAAGUAUCUUUUUCCAAUUAAACCCCGUUAUUGAGAACUCUUCUAGUGCCGCCAUGAAUCCUUGAUGUUAUGCAGCAUCCCGAAAAGAAUAUCUGUGACAAUAUAUUCGGCCAGCGCUCGCUUCUAAUAUUGAUGGAAAAACAAAGACUAGUAUAAAUGCUCCGACUUUGACCCUUACAGGAAAUGGGCAGUGGAUCAUGAUUACACUCCUUUAGAUAACAUGAUGAUAGUUAGUGCUCAUUCACAAGCAUGUUUACCGUUAAGUUUGAAAGAAAAGCGACGAUGUAAAUGUGAACUGUUUACUUAAAUUAAAAAGUAAGAUGGAUAUUUUAGUCCAACAAUACUCUCGGUGUAAAUCAAUAAAGGAGGGAAAGCUUAUUUAGGAAUGAAUCUCAUGAUCUGUCAACUGUCUUUACUCCAAGAUCAUUUAGCAACGCCAACUUUUUCGUGGCAUUUUAACGAAAAGAGCGUAUUUGCAACCACUAGUAGUAAUUCAAGUUGUAUUGACUUUAAAGGAGUUAUGUUCGAAAACAGCCUAACGAUCCAGCAUGUGGUUAGAAAGAUUGGAGUAUACAUUAUGAGUACACUUUGCAAGCUUACGAAACGGCACUAUUUCCACCUGCAUUCUUCGAAAUUUCCAGCUCUUACAGCUCUUGCCUAUUCACCAUACCACAAGCAAGCAGAGGUUGGCCGGUCCGAUCCAUUAUCGUGCAUGGAUUUUAUCAUUGGAGAGGUAGCAUUACAUGUUAGCAAUACUAUUACUUAUUUAUAUUUACUUUUUUCUCCUUUCAUUUACUUUUAUAAAUACGAAUAUUCUUAAUUGCUUGGUGAUAGGUUCUCUGCGUCAGUUGAAGUCUUAUGUCCGUCCAAUGGAAACACUGUCCAGAAGGGAUCUACUUGGAAGGCUUAUAUUGCAGAGCGAAGUGGUUUAACCUUUUGUUCUAGGCUAUUUCAUGAAGUAGAGUCGAGAUCAAAAUUCCCAGUCCGACCUUGAGAGAAAUUUGAGGGUAAUGAAAUCAAAAAAAAAAAACAUCCAGAUACCAGAGUUAAUCCGCUUUCUUCGACGAAACGGAGACCCACAUUAAUAAAUGGAAACGGGAGUAUUCCAAGACUAACUUAUGAGAAUCGGCUCGUGGCACAACUUUAUGUGUUAAAAAAUUGUGCUGAAAGUUUCAACCCUUACUUUCUUGAGUAAACGCAUUACCUAUACAGUACCUUUUUAUUUGUCUUACCUAAUUUUCCUUUUUUAUUUGUUUAGUCUACUUGUAUCAAACAAUUCGAUAAUUUAUCUUUUUUGCUAAUUCCACAUAGACGAACACCAAGAGAACUGGAAAAGAGAGGAUUGUACCCUCCAAAUUGUGUCAGAAAUACAGGAUACAAACAUUCUGUUACAUGGGUUUAAAAAACACACGCGCGAGGUAAGUGGAAAAUGUAUUAGAUAUUAUCAUAUUUAUUCAGUAAUUAUUAUUAUUUCUAACUAUUCUAUAUACUUCUAUCCUUGUUACAGGCUGUACAUAUUCAUAUCAACCGAAAGUUACUGAAGAAAGGUAAGGCAAGAGAAUCUUUUGAAUUUAAGCUUCAUGGGUCCCAAUACAUUGAGCUAACUCACUAGUGGUUUAUAUACGUUACACCGGCUUUACCAGGUUUUCAGCAAACUCAUAAGCGUGAGGUUUUACCGCGUCCAAAAACCUCCAAAAAGUAAGUGGAUGUUUGUGGUUAAAGGGCUGAAUGCAGCAAUCAGAGGAAUCAGAGAUUAUUAAUGGAGGUUUUGCAGGAUAUUAUUGAAUUAGAUUUUAUGAUAUGGCGGAAAUAAAAAUAACAAUUCUUUUAAGUGUGACUGGUGGAAUAACUUAUGAAAUGAAGGGUUAGGGGUUUUCAAGAAGGAAAGGCCAAUGGAAUUACAGUUAUUACUUUUACUCGGCCUUCAAAAUGGCGGUCAAAUGAAAGCCUUAUUGUGUUAAGCCAUGGCAGAAGUGGAAAACAAGUUCUUAUCUAUGUAGUACGAUAUAAGCAAUCCUAAAUUGGCGACUCGUUAUCAAACACUAAUACCCUCUCACCUCGAAACUUUUAUCAUUUUUCCUAUUAACUCGUGAACGAGCUCAGCUUGGACGACGAAGGAUUGAUUUUAGAAACACGUUGGAAUAUGGAGGAGUUUACAUCACCCACCCAAUUUCAUCUACCAGAAUAUAUUCGUAGUAGCCUCGAUGAUGCCAUUAUUUCUUUUUUGACGGAAUCGAUGUUCGACGGCAUUAUUUUUUGAUAAGAACCAUGCUUAUUCAAAAAAUAAAUCCCAAGUUGGAGAAAAAAAUAAUACGCUUACAUAAAGAGCUUAAGGAGUACAUGAAAGGUGAAGAACAAAUGGCAAGAAGAGAAGAAUUGAGUAGAUAUGCAUGAAAUCAAUUGGUUAUGAAUACUUCAGUGUGUGGUAUGUUAUUUUAUCUCAUUUUUAUUAUAUGACCGCACGGCCGCCUCCUCCAUCGCUUCUCUAUAAAUUCCAUCUAUUCCCUUAAAAAGGCGAUUUUGUAUCUUAAUGAGAUCAUUGAUAAACGAUGAUUCAACUCUCGUUAAUCCGUAAAUUCCCUUCAAUCUUUUUCUAGAAUUUUCAUUUUAGAUUAAAUUUUUGUGUCAAUCAAUAAAUCUUUCUUCACAAUCUCCUACUAUUUAGUCUAAUUUUAUUCUCCUUAUUCACACCAACCCCCACACCUCUUGUUUUUUGAUUCUGUUCUUGAUAUUAUUCUCUCGUUAUCUGUUACAAACGGAGAAAUUUAACCUGUAUUCGGAGUCGAACUUCGGGAUCCUCUUCCCCCCCCGGUGCUCUCCUAUACAACAACUUCGUGAUCAUUUCAAUGCGUGGCGUUAUCGCUUGUAUAGAUUUCACUAUAAGAAGUAUAAGACUGAUGAGCAAAGGCGUGCUCAUUGCCCAAAUGACAUUGAUCAAGAGGAUUGGAAUUGGCUUAUUAACUAUUGGAGUGAUCCAAAGUUCAAGGUAAUAAAAAAUUUUAUAAUUUCAAAGUGUUUUUAAUUUUUUUUUUUUACAUUCACUAACUAUUUUUUAAAUUAAUAGCGUGUUAGUGAGGCAAACAAAGCAAAUAGAGCCAAACAAACUAUGAUUGCUCGUGUGGGUACAAUGUCUAUUGCUAGGAAUAUACAUAAAAUGGUAAUUCCUUGUGCCUAUUUAACAUCUAUUAAUUUUAUGUUAAAGAUAAUAUCUCAGUUUUAUUUUUAGCAUAUAAUUAUUAUCUAAAUUUUUUGUAUGUGAUUUCACAGAGGGAACCCAUAGAAAACUUAACACCAGAGCAAGUACAAGAGCUAGGGCAAAAGCCUGAAUAUAUGAGACUCUGGGAAAAGGUAAGAAGGAAAAGAGAUGGUAAUUGGGUUGAUAAAGAUGCUGAAGAUGCAUAUAAGCGAAUGGAAGAACUUCAUGGCGACCAAUUAAAACAGUACAGACAGGACACACUCUCUACAGAACGAGCAUAUACAUUAGUACUUGGCCAUCGAUCUAGCUACAUCCGUGGUAUGGGCUCAGGUCCUAUUCCUUUUGAAAGUGGCGGUACUAGAGGACAAAGGAUUCGUGCGCAAAUACGAGCAGAAAUAGAACAAGAAAUGGCUGUACGAAUUCAAACCGAAGUGGAAGAACGAAUGAGCCAAAGGGAAAGAGAAGCUGAGACACGAAUUGCUGAAAUGCAAGCACAGAUGCGUGCUGAGAUGCAAUCUCAGAUGCGUAGCAUGAUGGAGCAGCUUUCACAAAUGGGAUUGACCAUUCCUACUCAACAAGCAUCGAAAGAGAAUGUAAGUUAGUUUGUUUCUAUAAAAUGAGUUGAAUAAUUGAAAGUCAAAUUAUUUGGUGUAUUAGAAAUAGGUAAUUCUGUUUGUUAUGUUUAAUUUUAAAAUACAUACUUAAAGUGUUAAUCUAAUCUUAUAGUAUUUUUGACUUGAUAUGUUUUAAAUAUUAGUUAAUAGUAUCUUUUAUUAUUUUGAAUAAAUAAAUAGAUUAUAUUCAUAAUUCUAAUUAUUUUUUUUUCUCAUUAUACAGGAUUAAACCUACCAGCUCAACAUAUUGGACUUGGAUUGUCUCAAGAACUUUAUUUCAUUUUUUUUUUCUAGAGAUUUUUCUUCCUUAGUUCUAAAAUUUACUAGUAUUAGAUUAAAUUUUGGAUGGAAUUGAAACAUACAAUACUUGAUGUGAACAUUUGGAGUAGAUUCAUUUUAGUUGUGCUAAUUGAACUACUUUAUACUUUUUAGUGAAAAUAUCUUAAUUGUUGUGAUUGAUUGUUUGUUUAAAUACUGAUUGAGAAGUGUUUAUAAAUAGUUAUGACAUGGUGAUUAUGUGUAAAUUUUUUUUUUCAAUUACAAAUGUAAAACAUUAAAUAGUAUUGCAAAACUUCUGUGGCCAAAUAAUAAAUAGUCAUAAUUUGUUAUAUAAUAGUAAUCAAAUCUGAAAAUUUUAAAGUGACCGAAAUUAAAUUUUGCUACAAAUUACACAUAACUAUUUAUGUCCAAAAAUAAAUAUUGCUAUAAAAUAUAUAAUAUUAUUUGUAGCUAUAUAGAAUUUUGCCAUAAUAUAUAUUAAACUUUAUAUGGCCAAAUGUCAAAUUUUGUCAUAAAAAUAACAAUACUAUGUGUAGCCAAUAUUAAAAUUUGCCACAACAUGUAAAGGAUUAUUUAUGGCCAAACAGUAAUUUUCGCCACUAUAUGAACAAUACUAGUUGUGGCCAUUUUUAAAAUUUGCGAUAACAUGUAAAGGAUUAUUUGUGGCGAAACAGUGAUUUUCGCCGCUAUAUGAUCAAUGCUAGUUGUGGCUAUUUUUUAAAUUUGCCACAACAUGUAAAGCAUUAUUUGCGGCCAAACAGUGAUUUUCGCCGCUAUAUGAUCAAUGCUAGUUGUGGCCAUUUUUUAAAUUUGCCACAACAUGUAAAGCAUUAUUUGUGGCCAAACUGUGAUUUUCGCCGCUAUAUGAUCAAAGCUAGUUGUGGCCAUUUUUUAAAUUUGCCACAACAUGUAAAGCAUUAUUUGUGGCCAAACAGUAAUAUUCGCCACUAUAUGAUCAAUGCUAGUUGUGUCCAUUUUUAAAAUUUGCCAUAAGUUAUAUGUUACUAUUUGUGGCCAAAACUAUUUUGCUCACAAAAUAUCAUAUAUUUUCUUAUUAUUACUAUACAUAUUUAUGGCCAUCUGAUUCUUUAUUGCGGCGAAUUUGAAAACAGUUGUGUCCAAUAAAAUCGCCACAAAAAGUAUGUAUUUUUUGUCGCGAAAUUGUUUUGGCCACCAUAACCUUUUGUAGCGGUUCUACUGUGGCGACCUUGUAGCGAAAUUAUUGUCGCCACAAAAUUAUUUUUGUGGCGAAAAUUUAUAUUUUUGCGGCGAUUUUAUUCGCCACAAAAAAUAAAUUUUGUUGUAGUGUGCUUCGAAUUUUGUGCCCAAAUUUAUAUAAUCUUUUAAGAAUAGUAGGAAACAUUCAUCAAGGAUAAAAUCAGCUAUAUAAAUUAAUGAAUCUACAGUGUUGAAGAUGCAAGGUGGCAUCUUGGGGGAAAAAGUUUUUUUUUUUUUUUCAUCUUACUUUUUUUUCUUCUUUUUUCACUAAUUUUGAAACAAGAGAGUGAGAUUGGUUUUUUUUUUUAAUCCAAAAUAAUUUUUCUCUCUCAUUAUAAAAAUUUUAAAAUAUAUAAUCACUACAACAAAAACGGUCUAUAGCGACACUUUUAAAUGUAGGUAAUGUCAAAAAAGUGCUGUUAGCUAAAAUUACCGACACUUUUAAAAAGUGUUGCUAUAUGUGGGGUCGCUAGGUAUAUAGUGACAGUUAAAGAGUGUCGCUAUAACCUAAAAGAGUGCUGCUAAUUUACCAAUACUUAUUUAAGUAUUUAGCAACCGCCGAAACUCUACCUCGUUGGCUGCGGUGGCGGAGGAGGACGACAGGAAAGACUCUUCGUCUAGAAUUUCAGUGGAUUGAGUGAAGAGAGAAGAAAAGAUGGUAAUUGAUUUUUCUUUUUUUUUUUCUUUUCUGUUUAUAAUCGGGCCAAGUAGACUGGGUGUGGUGGGUUGAGUAGAGUAAUCUUUUAUUUUUGGUUGGAUUGAGCUUUAUAUUUAGGCAGUAGUAGAUAUUUUUUUAAGUUUUAGGAUAAAUGGACACUUACUCAAAAGUGUCCCAAACAUGUGUCCCUAUAAUGUAAUUCUGUUGUAGUGAAUAUUUUAUAUAUAAUUUUUUAAAUAAUUUAGAUUAUAUGUAAUAAAUAUAAAUUUUGAUUUUAUAAUAUUGAUUACUUAGAUAUAAAUUGUACAAUAAAAUAUAAAAGAAAAUUUGAUGAAGCUUAAGUUAAUAACGUAUUUUGAUUAAUUUAGUUGCGAGAAUUGCACACUUUAAUUUUAUAGUAGCGAUCAACUCGAUCUACAUUCAAAAUUUUCUUGAAUAUCCAAAAUAUAAUUGGUUGGCUUUUAAUUUUAACAAUUAGGUAUUCCAAAAUUUAUUAAAUAGUUUAACAAAUUUUUUUCUUCGAAUGAAAUUAUUAAUUGAAUAAAACCGAUCAAUGCUCAACUCUAUUUUCGUUUGGAAUAAAAAUAAAAGAUCAAAAGAUAAAUUAUACUUUUCGUCCUCAAAACUAUAAGACGAGUGACACUUUUGUUCUCGAACUUGAAUUAGUUAUAAUUUUUGGCUUGAAAUAUGAGGUAUACCAUUUUAGUCCUCAAUGUUUACCGCCCUAUAAAUAUAAUUUAUUAUUCUUAUGUUUUUGCCCUUAUUCUUUUUUAAUCAUUUUUAUAGUUGCUUCUUCAAUUACUUCUUUUUUAAAUAAAUCCUUGACUCGUUUUUUUAUGCUAUUUUUUUUAAUUUAAUUUUAUUUAUUUAUUUAUUUAUUUAUUUUUACGGAAUCAACCCGCUGCAAUGCCAGUGUCUUCACUAGUCCAAUAUUAAAGCUAAGUUAAGAGUAGCAAAGCCUACAACUUAAAUAUCAAAGUCCAUAAUGAGUUUUUUUUUACUCCUAUCUCAUUAAUUUUUGCUAAUGUAGUUUUAACAUUGGAAUAUAAAUAAAUUAAACAUGAGUUUCUAGAGAGGUGAAAACUCCCCUCUACCAUCAUAAUUCUCUUCUAAGCCAUGUUUUAAAUCGCUGUAUCGGGAUAUUAAUUAGGCCUGAGAUCGCUUCGACCGAAAAUAAUUCGUCUGAGCUCAAAAUAAAACUGAUUCCAAUCUCAUGGGGAUAAAUCUUAUUCCAUCAUAUGUAUAGAGUUGAGUUGGAAUGCUACAGGUAGCAAAAGGGCUCUAUUGUCAUCCAUUUGUUUUCGACAUGGAGCCUUCAAAUUGACGAUCGGCAUCGUUGAAAAUGAUCUAUACCACUUGAAAUAUUUAGAAAUUAAAUUUCAUACUUUUCCGACAUUGUUCUCUUAUCCAUCAAGUAGGCGUAAAAAUGAACGACUAAAAAUGAAUAUCCUCUAAAAAGUGAUGAUAGAAAUUUUGUAAUCAAGAUCGAGAGUACAGAUUUUGUUCUAAAUAGUUUAAAGAAUUUUCUAACCAAAAUUUAAUUAAUUCGGAUAGCUUUACACCGUUAAACAAGAAAAUGCCUCAUAUCUAUUAUUAAAAUUAUAAAUUUUGAAACCCUUUGAUCAUUAGGUCAAUUAUGUCGAAAAAAUUUGAAAAUUGAUUUCUAGAUAUUUUAAGUGAUAUAGAUCAUGUUCAACAGUGCCUGUUGGGUGUCGAAUUUCCCGACCUUUCACCCGGUCAAAGAUCCUCCUCGGGGAGCGCAUCGGGUUGAUGAACGGCUGCGGAUAGUGACCCUCGAAGUUUGUGCCCUUCGACAGAUCAAGCGAUUCAGCUGACGAGGGAUCGGAUCAGCCGAGUUCGAAAACCUUUACUGUAGAAUCGGUUCAGCUGGAUGAGCCGAAUGUAUGAACUGUGCAGGGAUCAAUGUCGGCAGAAGAGCCGAAUGGAAGAAGUACACAGUGACUGGUAUCGGCUGAAAGAGCCAAAUAGAUAAAAUACACAGUGACUGGUUGCACUACAACAGAAUUAGGUUAUAGGGACACAUGUUUGGGACACUUUUAAGUAAGUGUCCCAUUUAUGCUAAAACUUAAAAAAAUAUCUGCUAAGGCUAAAUAUAAAGCCCAAUCCAACCAAAAAUGAAAGAUUACUCUACUUAACCCACCACACCUAGUCCAUUUGGCCCGAUUACAAAUAGAAAAGAAAAAAAAAAAAUCAAUUGCCAUCUUUUCUUCUCUCUUCACUCAAUCCACUGAAAUUCUAGACGAAGAGUCUUUCCUGUCGUCCUCCUCCGCCACCGCAGCCAACGAGAUAAAGUUUCGGCGGUUGCUAAAUGCUUAAAUAAGUGUUCGUAAAUUAGCAGCACUCUUUUAGGUUAUAGCGACACUCUUUAACUGUCACUAUAUACCUAGCGACCCCACAUAUAGCAAUAUUUUUUAAAAGUGUCGGUAAUUUUAGCUAGCAGCACUUUUUUAACAUGCACCUAUAUUUAAAAGUGUCGCUAUAGACCGUUUUUGUUAUAGUGUCGGCUGAAAGAGCCGAAUGCCUAUAUAUAUAUAUAUUAAUAAAACAGAGUGUGCCCGAAGGGCAUACAAAUCCUGCAAAUAUAUAGUUUACAACAGAGUGAUGCCCGUAGGGCAGACAGACUCCAGAAUUUUACUUAAAAGCUACUCCUAGGAAAGCAGUAAAUGCGAAAAAAAAAGAUUACAUUUAGAUUACUCCUAGAAAGCAAUAAAUACAGGAAAGGAAAGAUAUGAAAAUGCGGUGGUCUUCUCGUUCAGGGGAGAGAAAGACCCUUAUUACAGGCUUUGAAGUUACUAUUUAUACUGAUGUCUUCUCAGCCCACAUUAUUGGUCGGUUGAAAGUAGUAGGGGGAGUGGUUGUAACCAUGAUCGUGGAAGUUACGCCUACUCCUCAUGAAAGUUACGCCCAUUUCUCAUGGAAGUUACGCCUACUCCUCAUGAAAGUUACGCCCAUUUCUCAUGGAAGUUACGCCUCCACUUCUCAACCGUUUCCGCCUAAACGCUCUUGACUUUCAGGCGCUUUAUUGCCGACUCCUGGUGUACCACGUGUCCUUAUUUCUUUGGCUCAUACGUGGGCUAAGUCGGUGUGUUAAUUUCAAUUUUGGCAUCAACAGUGCCGAUCAUCGAUUUGAAGGCUCCAUCAUCGAAAAUAAAUAGGUGGCAACGGAGCUCGUUUGCUAGCAAUAACAUUCUAGCUCAACUCUCACACACACACACACUCUCUCUCUCUCUCUCUCUCUCUCUCUCUCUCUCUCUCUCUCUCUCUCUCUCGAUCUAUCUUUGCAUCGUAUCUACCUCCUUACUCGGAUCUGAGUUUGGUGAAUGAAAUGCUGGGUUUUGGAUGGGUAUGGGUGAUCUUUGUGUGUAACUAUUAUCUGUUCCUUUCUAGGGUUUUUUACGUUGAAAUGAGUGGAGAUCCGCUCAACUAUAAGUCUCUUUGAAACGACCCCCUCAAUUUUUUUUUUCCUGCGAUUUUGAAUGAGUUUUGUCAAGUAUAUUAUGGAUUUUAGGAAAUUUCAAAUUGAACUCCCAAUAUUAAUGGCUAAUAAUUAAUAAAGCUAUCAAAUUUAAGAAAAUUACUUAAGGGCAUGUUUGUUUCGUCGUAAAAUCACCCCGAAAAUUUUUUUUCGGUAGAAAAAUAAGAUUCCGAGUGUUUGUUUGCUCGUAAAAAAAUUUUUUCGGAAAAUUUCUUUUACGAAUCCACGGAAAAAUGGUGUUUUCGUUUUCCGCUCGCCGCUUGGAACGACCGGAAAACGAAAAUGACGCCAAAAAAUAUGACAUAUUUAUUUUAUAUCUAAUAAUUUAUUUUAUAGUAUUAUAUAUUAUAUGACAUAUUUAAUUAUUACAUAAUAUAUUUUAAAUAUAUUUUAUUUAUAAAUGUAAUAUGAUANAUCAAAGAUAUUGACCUUGUUUUAUAUAGUAUAAAGAAUUUUCUAUCAAAAUUUCACGUGAUUUGGGUAUUUCUACACCGUUAAACUUGCAAACGGCUCACUACGACCAUUAAAAUGAUUGAUUUUGAGCCCCUUCGAUCACAGGGCAAAUGAUAUCGAAAAAUCAUAAAAUUUAUUUUUUAAAUACUUCAAAUACUUUAGAUUAAGUUUAACGAAGCCGAUCGACGAUUCGAAAAUCGCAAUAUCGAAAAUGACUUGGAAGUACGGAAGGCUCCGUGCUUCUAAAAGCAUAGUAGCUUCACUCUAUAUAUAUAUAUAUAUAUAUAUAUAUAUAUAUAUAUAUAUAUAUAUAUAUAUUCUCCAACCAAUUAAUGGUGGCAAGAAUUAAUAAGAGUGAGUCUUUCACUUGGAUUGAAUUCCUUGUCCACAUGCAAGGAUUCAAGGACAGCAACAGUUCACUCUAACAGAUAUACAUAUAGGAGUGUUUUGCUUGUAGAAAGGAAGGCCUAAAGCUUUUAAUGCAAUCCAAGUUGUUGGCUGGGUCCAUUGGCAUUAGAGCUCCUCUAGCUCUACAUAAUACAAUAUUUAGGUUACAUAUAUUGUUAGGUGUGUCUCGAAAUUUGGUUAUCGGUUUUGAUUUUGUGCCCCUGAUUCGCUGACACCUUCGUAGUACAAUAAAUUUUGACAAACGAUUUGUGAAGGAAAAAAUGGAUGUGAUCCGAUACUGAAGAAAUCCGUUGAGAAAUUUCUUUCUUCUUUUUUGCCCCAGCUAUAGAGGCGAUACAUCGUACUGUAUUUUUUUUUUCAUAGUAAAGUUCUUUCCUUCUUCGCCCGUAAUUUUUUUCUUACAAAGAGUUUUUCACGUAAAUCCUUGUAUUCUAUUUUUUCACAGUUUUGUAGCUUAUCUGCUUUGCGAUUGCUAUUUUUCGUUUGUAUUUGUGCGCUUGCCAGUAACAUAUAUGUAUGGUCUGGGGGUCCCCCUUCAUUAUCCCAUAUUGGUCAAAAUUGCCCAGCUAGGUUGGAUUAAAAUAACCCAAAUAAUCCUCCAUUCCCCAACACCUACCAUAUCUACACCAUACUCUCUAUUCCUCUCCCUACUUCUAGGGUUUUCCUUUUUCUUUUUAUUAUUUGUCAUUGUUUGUAGCUAGCUAGGGUUUUUGUGGUUAAUUAAACAUUGUUUUCUUUCUCUACCAUCUCACAUACAUCCCUAGGGUAUCACAAAUCCUCUAUUCUAAUGAGGAUAUAUCCUUCCAAAGACUCUAGACACACAAAUUAAAUAUGAUAUGAUAUAUCCGUGAGGUGGUUAUUGGGAUCCCAAUGGAGAGAGAAAGCAAUAGCUCUCUAUUAGAAAAAGAAUAUCAUCUUGGUCUUCCAUGCAUAGAAUUAAUGGCACAACAUUGGAGGCCACACUUGUGUGUGUGUUUGUGCAAUUGCUGUAAUUGUUUAGUAAUUUGGCCUAGACACCAAGAAGAGAGAUCAAACAAGUGAUGUUUUGUCUCUGUCCAAUAAAUAAAUGAUAUGGAGAUUCAUGCCAUGAAUGGGUGACUAUUAUAAGGGAUCAAUCAAUGUCAACUUUUCAUGCAUGGGGAGGUAAGGAUUAGUGCUUAAGAUAUUUUUUAUAUAUAUAGAGAGAGAGAAUUAUGCUAGAAUACUAUUAAUAGUAUAAUACUAUUCACUUUGUGACCGUUAGAUGUUUAGGUUUGUGUUACAAUGAGCGCACAAACAGAAACGGCAAAAAAGCGAUCACAAAGUAGACAGAACCACAAAAAUAAUAAAAUAAAAUAAAACACAAGGAUUUAUAUGAAAAGUCUUUUACAGAAAAAAAACACAGAUGAAGAAAGAGAGAACUUCACUGUGAAAGAGAGAGUACAAUAUUUUUUUUGGAGAAUAGAAAUUCAUUAUAUCACCUCUAGGGCAAAAGAAGAUCCUUAACGGAUAUCUUUAUUUUCUGACCCGAUCCGUAUCACGCUCUGCUUCCCACCACAAACAUCCACCUUCCUUCAUAAUUUGUUUUCCGAAAUUUUUCGCACCGUGAACCUAUUGGCGAACUAAGGGCGCAAAAUUAAACUGAUAACCAAAUUUCAGGACACGUCUGAUAGGUUGAGUGGGUGUUUGGUAUAAUAGUAAUGAUCUAAGGGUGAAAAAGCUGAUAAUAUGUAAUAUUAGGUAGUACCCUACCUGAAAUAUAUCUAUAUAUACACACACACACAUGUAUACUAGGGGUAGCAUUUGACCACACCCUCCAUGUGAAUUAAGAACCAUUCAAUGUGCUAAAUGUGUUUUCCUAGGCCAUGUCAUGGGGGGGAGACCCAAGAAGGAAUCUUGAUCUAGGGCAUUAAUAGCAUUUGGGCUUAAAAAUGAGUAGUAAGAGGAAGGAGAGAGAAGAGAGAGACAGUUAGGGUUUUUGGUUUACUUUGACUGUUUGGAAAGUUCAUGCCAUGUGAUUUUGCUAAUUUACUAGGAAUGCUCUGAAUCUUGGUCCCUCAUUAAAUACUCAUUGACAAUGUUAUGGUCCCAUUCUAGAGAAACACAUAUUAUUUAGUGUAUAUAUAUAUAUAUAUAUACACACAUAUAUGUAACACCCCAUGCAUGAUUUAAACAUCACCAAUCUCAUAAUACAUGUUUUUCUUUCUUAUAUAUACUACCUUUUUUUAUUCCUAUCUCAAAUGGAACUCAUGGAUUUAAUAUGUGCACGCAAAAUGAUUUCUAAAAAAAGUGCCCACAAAUAUAUUCAGGUAUCCAAAAAUGAUGAUAACUCCAACCAAAGAACAGAAUUAAUUAAUAUAUAUGUUAUUAUUAAUUAUCAAAAUUAAUUUCAUGCUUACUUGUCAACUCCAGCUUCUCUUUAAUCAUCACUUUCUUUGUUUAAUAAACCUCUCUAUAAUUGUAGAUUUAGGUGAACUAAGUUAAUUAUUUUCUUAUGAGGAUUCAUAUGUAUAAUUCGAUAUAAACACAAAGAUAUUAUUAAUAAUUUGACUUCGGCUUAGACUUCAGUGCUUGUUUGACCUAACUUCUGAAAUAACUUUUCUAAGAUAAGAAGCAGCAACUACACAUUCGAUAAACAAGCAUACUUGAGCUUAAUUUCCUACUCUAAGAAUACUUUGACUUUGGUUGAGAUUUCGUGCCUGUUUGGCCUACCUUCUAAAAUGACGUUUUUUUACUCUGAGAAGCAGCAACAAGACAUUCGACAAACAAGUAUGCUUGAGCUUUCUCAGGGUAGAAAACUAAAUUGAGCUUAUGAACCCCAAAUUGGAAGCUGUAGUUAAAGUUUUUUGGCUUUUCUGUCACACUGAAAAAAGAGAAUAGUCUAGGGGGAUUUAUAUGCGCCUUUGUAAACAACAACUUGACAGAAAAUUAAUUUAGAUAAGCAAAACAAACACUUCAUAAGAUUUGUGAGAAAAAACUAUCCAGAGCUAGCUCAUUAAUUAUCAACCUUUUGAUGCAUAUCCUUCACUUCUUCAACAUUUUGGUGGUAAAAAGUAAAAAAAUUUGCUAGUUAGUAUGCUUUCAUUGAAGGGGAAAAGGAGAAUCCAAAAGGGUUGGUAUAUUAUUAGCAGAUCGGAAUGUGUUACUGUAAAAUAAAUAGAUUCACUGAGUGAAUUUGACCAGGAUCAGUCAAUAUGAUAUGUCGUUCGUAAAAAUAACCGGCGACGGAUCAGAUUCGAAUCCAGGUUUCAGAUCCAAUGAAUGAAUACACUUCAUUUACCCCAGAAGAUCAUGCUCCAUCAAUCUCCAUACACACACAUAUAUAUAUAUAUAUAUAUAUAUAUAUAUAUACAUAUAAAUAGCCUGGUCCAUCUACAGUCCAAUGCCAAAAUCCUCAUUACUCAUCGCAUCGAUAUCCGUGCCGAUCGGACGGUGCAGGGACCAUCAUGUCAUCCCCAAUAUGGCCCAUGUACAACUCCAUUCUGAUGUGGGGCCCAUGAUGAAUAGAACUAUUUUGUCGGCCCAUGGUCCGGUGGGCCACCACAAUAGUAGUCAGAUCGAGCCCAUGGGCCCCAUUUUUCUCUAAAUGGGCCAAGAAUAUGAUCUCAUCAUCAUCUAGAACGUUUCCUUUUAGUUCUGUGUCAUUUUGGAAUUUAUAUCAUUUUGAACAUUUUAGAAUUCGAAUUUUACGAUUCUGCGACAUCGCUAACCUAAUCACCAAAUGGUCUCCAAUUCAUCUUAUAUUAGCCAUUGAAAAAUUAUCAAUUUCGAGACCACUUGAAUAUUUAUUAGGCAAACUAUUCCGAAAAAUCGCAAAAAAAUACGCUUCAGUAGGUUUAAUGAUGUCCAUCGACGAUUCAGAUGUUCUAUUAUUGAAAAUAAGAUAGAAAUAAUUAAACCAUCCUGGUUCUUUUUAAAAGUAUUCUAGCUCUAGUCGAGACUUGGUUAUUUACGGAUAUUCUCGACCAAAUUCGAAAGACAAACAAAUAGAUCAAAAUCCGAUCCAAACCCGGUUCUUAAUUUUUGUUUUAGGACUUAUUUCAACAUAUUUUCUAAAACAGAAGCCGCUGUCCCUAGUGCAGGUGGCUACAGGCUUGAUCGUCGGCAUAUGAGAUCUCAAGUUUGAAAUCUAAUUAUUUUAUAUUUCCAGCUAAGCAAGAAUUUAAGUGCCGUAGUACGGGAUCGUGCCGGAAACUUGCCGGUACGGUACGGCACGGUGCAUGCCGAGUCGUGCCGGUCAAAAAAAAUUCUUGCGUGCAGACACAUAAUAGCAUGAACUAUUUAUUUUCUUUAGCAAUAAAAUAUCCUAACUAUUUAUUAUAUCUUUUUAUCAUAUCUUUUGAAUUUUAUUGAGUAAAUUACUUAUUAAUUUAAAGAAUAGAGGGUUUUGAGCUGUUUCAUUGGCACAGGAUCUAUAUCGUGCCGGUAUCUUGUUGGUACGGUACGACACAGUGGAUACGGCCCGUACCGACAGACACUUACAAUCUUGCAACUAAGUUUAUUUCUCUUUAAAAAAAAAAAAAAAAAUCUAUAGGUGACAAGAUUUGGACUCAUCCGGAUUCGGAUUUUUGAGACAGAUUAUUUGCAUGUAAUGCUAUGUAGUCAAAUUUGUCAUAUCUUUCAUUUCUAGACAUAGGUCAGUGACAGUACCACAUAAAUUAUCAGAAAUUUUGUUUUUUCAUCUGUUUUCACUUCACAAGUUCAUAUUAGAUUCGAACUUUGAUUAGUACACUCAGAUAAUAAAUUAUCAAACAUCCACUCAGGUACUAGUUGGAUUUGACCAUCAUUAUUAACACUGCAACAAUAUUUUGAACAGUGAGACUGUUUAAUCCGCCAUUAUCAUAUGAAACAUAAGUCUCAAAGCAACAUAAGCGAUAAAUUUAACAAUCUCACUAUAAUGAUAGUUCCUAAUAAAUUUUUGAUCCUUAAUUAGCACGAAUUAACUAGGGUCAUCAUCUACUUUUGUUUAAGGUGUUGGGGCUCUAGAUUAGAUUCCCCCACAACUUUUUUUUAAAAAAAAAAAAUUAGGAAUCAAUUUUCUAUAAAUGCAAAAGUAUGAAAGUUUAUUCCAAGAAAUAAAUCCCACUAAAUCAAGAAAGUUACAAUAUUUUUUGUCUCAUUCGAUGAAGUUAAUUAGACUUGUUUUUUGACUCAAGAAAAGAAUAAAAGCUAGCUUAUUAAUUUUUUAAUUAACCAUAUAUAGAGAGAGAAUCCAACUAAGAUUUAAAUUUUUUAUAAUUUUUCGAUAUUAUUUAUCUAGUGAUCGAAUGGAUGAAAAUCAAUAACUUUAACGAUCGAUAUGAGUCGUUUGCAAGUUUUACAAUAUAUAAAUAUUCAAAUCAAGUAGAAUUUUGAUAGAAAAUUAUUUAAUAACUAACUAAAGCAAAAUAAAUAUUUCUGAUUUAAAAUUUUAAUAUUGUAGUAUCACUUUUUGUGGGUUUUUUAUUUUCAACGGUUAAUAUUAAACCCUUCUAAUCAUUGUUGACAUCUAAUCAUACUCCACAUCUACCAAAUAUUGCAUUGUGCUGAAAAUUGCAUUACCACUAUUGUUUUAUGUAAUUAAUGUUCUCACAAAUCACAUCACCAUAUUAAAAGAUUAUCACCUUAAUUAUCAAGCUAAUAUUUUUUGACCAUAUAUGAAUCUUGAACAUUAUUUUAUUUUCAUCUUUUUGUAAGGUUUUUCCUCAGAAACUUUAAGUCUCAUCAUGAUAUUCUUAACCAUCAUUUUGUUAAUAUUCUUCUAUGUAUUUAAUUAAUUAAUUAUCAUGACUAAUAGUACUAUGCGAAUGAAAAUCUUCAUAGAGGGUCUAUUUGUUUUAUCGAAAGUAAAUGACAGAUUAAAAUAAAUUUUUGGGUAAAUUAGAGUUUAGAUAAAAAUUAUUUUCCUCUGUUGUCUGUCUGUAUAGCUGUGAAAUUGAAGUUAUCCAAUUAUACUAUUUAUUCAGCAGAAUAUGCGAAUGAAAAAUGGGUUAAUAUCUUAUUAAAUUUUUCUUCACGUUUUUCUUCGUAACUGACUUACUGUUUGGAAAGGGUUGUAAUCAAUUACGAUAGUUUGAGAAGUUUAAAUUUCAAUCGAAAGUGAAGUUCGGUGAACCAAACUACAGAAAUGGAUAUUUAUGAACAAAAAUUACUUCACUGCUCUCCACUUUUGGUGAAAUAAACAUAUCUGCAAUGUACUUGUCAUCGACAUUUGAUUCUCCAAAGUUGAAUGAGACCUUUGAAUAAGCACUACAAGCUUAAUUUGGUAAAAUUUGUUAGUUAUAUACCCAAAAGCCAAUCUGGUGACACUAGCUUAAGGGUAUUUAUGUAUUAAUUAUUUAUAAUUCAUAAUAGGAGGGCAGAUAUUAUAUUCAUGUCUAUUGUAUAGUAGUUCAAUAUUGACAUGAAUCGUCCAUAGAGUCUUUGUUUGAAAAAACAUAUUUCCAAGAGUUAGGAAUUUGAGAUAUGUAUUUUUCUGUACGAGACUUUUUAAAUGCUCAUAGCCAGAGGAAUAUUAUAGGGACGGUGAUAUUCCGGAUUGGCCGGUGUAUGCUAUGUUUCUAAUUGAGGUGACGAAUCUCAAGUCACUAGUGUAGGGACACUAGAACAAGCAUACAGGUGCUUGUUAGAGAACAAGUACACUGAGCGUGACUAUUUGGUUGAACUGUCACAUGGUUCUAUGCUCGCCAGUGACAAGUUCAUUGCUACAGUUAUGUGAAGUACUCCUUGGACCUAAGGCAUCAUAGUUGCUUCACGUAUAGGUUGCUACAGUUUAACAGUACUAAUACUUAGACUCUAGACACGUGUUUAUAUUCGGUACUGAUUAGCUAUAGUGAUUUAUGCGAGGAGGCAUGUGAAUGCGCAAUAAGAAAUCCAACACUCUCAAUGAUGAGGGAGAAUGUCCUAUAUAGUUUAUCGGACUCGACUCGGAAAACCCCUGGCCAGGGUACAUGGUAUGUGGAAAGAGUUUCUAACUAUGUUACCAUAUUGAGUUGAUUUCAGAUAUUCUAGUCAUAUGGUCGAAUGAUAAGGUUUGGCGAGUAACCAUGACCUGAGUUCGAUUGGGACGUUGUAUGUUGGAAGGAAUUAAUCACAUGGUAACUGUAAGCGGAAAGGUUCAUUCUUCAUCACCAUUCUGGAUUGCCGUGAUAUACUGCUAGGUGUCACUCAUGGACAGUGAGAGAAUAUGAAUGAUUCGAAUUGAAUUAUUUUUAUUUAUCGAUUAGAAGAGUUCUAAUUAAAUAUCAAAGAGUUUGAUGUUGAGCUCCAUUGCCGAAUGGUAAUGAAUCUAUGCGGUCACACACAUUAGGAACUGUGUGCACCUGAAUCGUUUGGAUGAAAGUCGUUCACUAAAGAGUUUAGUGUAAGCGAUAAAAAUAAAAGGAAGCUUCUUAAUUAAAUUAGAUUUAAUUAUUCGAUUCGGUUAUAACUGAUAAUCCUAAUUAGAUUAGGAUCUUAGAAUCAGUUAGAGAAUUAUGCGCAAGAUUUAAAUUUAUCUCUAAUUAGAUUAGUAGAUAAUAUUUAAUUAUAAAAGAUAUUUAAAUGAGAUUUAAAUAUUAGUGAGUAAUCUUAUUGGAUAAGAUCAAUAUUAGAUAAGAUCUAAUUAAAUAUUGGAGAGAUUAAUAUUUAUCUCUAAUUGGAUUAGAGAAUAAUUAAAUAUUCAUAAUAUCUUAUAAGAUAAGAUUUUUACUAGAUUUGAUUUAGUUGGAUAAGCAUGAAUAUUUAAUUGUUAAAUUUUAUUGGAGAGAGAGAAAUCUUAUUAGGUAAGAUUUUAUGAAAUAAGAUUUUAUAUAUACAUAUAUAGAUUUAUAUGUAUGUAUGAAUAUGCAAUGACUUAAAAAAAAUAAAAAAGGAGCCGUACGGCACUGUGUGCCGUAUAGAAUAGAAAUUCUAAAUUAAUUAAGAUGCCAUGCAUCUUAAUUAAUUUGAUGCAUGUUAGCCUUUUGAUCUAUAUACAUAUAGAGAUCAAUCUCUCCGAUUUCUCUCCCGCGCGCGUGUUUCUCUCCGAUCAACUUCUCUACUCUUCAUCGGCUGGUGGAUCAUGAAAGGAUUGCUAGCACCGUCCAGAUAGUCCGUGACUCAUCCUAUUCGUGAGACGAAAUACACGUAGAGACCGGGCACGUGCGCGGCUCAUCGGAAUCUCUGUUCGUCAUAUUCAGUUUCAACCGUACAGUAGAUUAAGAGACCUUAAUUGGUCCACGAUAAGAUCUCCGAACAUAAAGAGUUUUGUUUAGAUUAAAUUUUUGCAUAGUAAUAUGAGAAUGAUCAGCCGACAACGGUUUGAUUUAUUGGUUUUCGGUUUUCAUAUGUGAUAUGUAUUUGACUUCUGAAAAAUUUUAAAAGUGCAAAACUAUUUUCCGCUGCGUUUUUCUGAUAUGCCGGUUAAUUUCUAACAAAAUUACCCCUGCUAAUUAAUGAAUUUUGGAAGCAUCAAGAGAUUCUGAGGAAACUAGGGUUUCACUUUUUUUUAAUAUAAAUUAAAACAAAAAGGUUUUUUUUGAGAGAUAGGUAGCACGCUAUCCGCUUCGUUUAUUUCAUUUAGAAAUAAACUUAACUAGAAAUGUGAAUCAACUAGAAUUCAAACUUGGGUCUCGGGUACCAACCGUCAAGCCCUUUGCCACUUGCUCUAGGGACGGUCAGUUAGAACAAAAAGAUUUAAUUAAUUAAUUCUCCAUGAUGACCUAAUGGAAGGCAAAAACCUUUAAACAUAUUGAAUCUCCUUUAUGCUUGUCUUAGGAGACAUGAUCAACUAUAUCUAACAAAUAUUCUACAUAUCUAGAAAAGAAAACAUCAAAUGUUCUUUUUUUUUUGUUCAAAAAAAAGAAAAGUGAAAAGUAGGGAAGGUGUGGUGGAAUUGUGGGUGAACUUUUCAUUAUGAGGGCCAUUUGUUGGCUAAAUAUUUUUGGGUUGUGGAAGAGAAUAAGUUGAAUUAAUUCUUUAUUCAAUUCAAUGUACUUUUUGAAGUAGUUUGUAAGUGUUUUUUUUUAAAAAAAUUUUAUUUUUUAUUUUUGAAUGAAUGAAGCAUUAGAUUCUCAACAGUGAUAAAAUGAAAUGAAAAGCUAAAUUUUACGCCAUUAAUCGAAAUAUUCAGAAGUACUAAUUAAGUAGCGCUAUUUUAAAAAAAAUCUCAAUUUCUGUUGCUGAACUUGUUUUAACCUUGAAACACAUGGCCAAAUUUAUUUAAAAAAUAAAACCAUUAAUUAUAUAUGUAUGGAGACCCCUCUUUAACUUUUAAAUUUUAUUUUGUUUGGUUUUAUAGUUAAUGAGGUUAUGAAUUUUUGUUACAUUUUAUGACUGAAUUAGUUAUUAGCAUGCAGUUAAUUAAUCUAGUUUUAUUCGAUACAUAGUAGCUCAAACUAGUUUUAUAACCAUAGGUAAAUAUAUCUAUGAAAUAACAUAUUAAGCUUUAUGAUAAUUAAAUACAAUAUAAUUACAUACGUAGCAUGUCAAAUUACACAUAACCAUCGGGGUUGGUUGAAUAGUGUGAUUAAACGAAUGAAAAUGGUCAAAAAAAUAGAUCUAACGACAGAAAAAUUUAUAAAUAUAAAACGAUUUAUACUCAUUACAGUAUAGUAGCCGGACUCAUGAUAAUCAAAUACAAUAUAAUUACAUAUGUAGCAUGCAAAAUUACACAACCAUUCGGGUCGGCUCGAAUUCGGGUCCGGCGUAAAUUGGCCCAAACUUAAUCCUAAAUUAUGUCCGGUCGGAAAAGUUGGUCUGGCCCAUCUGUGUAGCCCCAAAAGAAUGGCCUGAUUCUGUUCAUGUCUUGGGGUAAAUUACACUUUUGGUCCUCAAAGUAUGAGACACGUGAUAGUUUAAUCCUCGAACAUAAUUUCACUACAAUUUUUGUAGUUAAAACUAUAAGGUGAGUAACACUUUAGUUCUCGAAUUUUAGGUAGUUGUAAUUUCUGACUCUUUAUGUGUAUAUAAAAUGAAAAUAUCAUAAUUGUGGAGAAACUUUAGUUAUCUUUCAAAAAAGAAACUAUUUGAACUAGAAAGUAACUAUUCUUGCGGAUAAUUUUGUGAAAUUAAAUGAUAAACUUCAAUUCUUCAAAUUACCUUCAUGUAGUUUUAUAUAUUUUUUUACUUUGCCAUCCUGUAGUUCAAACAGUUGCAUCUUAUCCUCUAUGGUUUAAAAUUUCUUUCAUCGAAAAGUUUUAUGUCAUUUUUUUAGAAAAUCACACGAUAACAAAGUAAAAAAAAAAAUUUAUGGUAAAUAAUAGUACUUAAAUAUAACUUUCCAAAUCUCAGGAUGACAAAGUGAAAAUAAGCUAAGGGUGCGUUUAUUUCGUCGUAAAACGACCUUGAAAAAAAAUUUUCGGGGGAAAACUAAAAAUCCUGCAUUUGUUUGGCUGUAAAAAAUUUUUCUCUAAAAUUUUUUUUUACGAACAGUGAGGAAAAGGGCGUUUUCGUUUUCCGCUCGUUUUACGCAAACGCCCAAAAAUCGCGGCGUUUGGGACGGGGAGGGGGGACCUCUCUCUCUCCCCCUUCUUUUUUUUUUUAUAUAGAAUAUAUAUAAUAAUAUAUAUAUUUAUAUAUAUAUAUAUUUUUUAAAAAAUAUUUUAUUUUAAUAUAAAUAUAUUUAUUAUAUAAUAUUUUAUAAUAUAAAUAUUAUUUAUAAAUACAUAAUAAUUUAUUUUAUAGUAUUAAAUAUAUACUAUUAUAUAUUAUAUUACAUACUUUAAUAAAUAUAUAAUAUAUUUUAACAUAUUUGAUUUAUAAAUAUAAUUAUAAUACUAAUAUAUGUAAUAUGAUAAUUAUUAUAUAUAAUAUAUAUAUAUAAUAAGAAAAAUAUAUACAAUAAUUUUUAUUUAUAAAUUUUUAUUUUUUUUCUUUCAACUAAACAACUAUAAAGAAAAAUAAUUUUAUAUUUUUAUUUAUAAAAUUAUAUAUUUUUAUAUAGUAUAUAUGCAGAUUAUUACAUAUAUUAUAUUAAAUACUUAUCAAUUUAUCAUAUUUAAUUUAUAUAAUUUUAAUAUAUUAUAUUAUUUAACUAUUCAUAAAUUAUAUAUAUAUAUAUAUAUAUAUAUAUAUAUAUAUAGCCUAAUAAUUAAUAUAAAUUAUAAAUAAAUAAUAUAUAGAAUACAUAAUAAUAAUAAUAAUAAAAUAUACUUGUUCUUUUCAACCAUUCAACCAAACAACUAUAACUGAAAAUUAGUUUUCUUUUCCUAUAAACCAAAUACUAAAAAUCGUAAAAUAAAUUUUUCACAAAAAACUUUUUUUCGCUGAAAACUUUUUUUCGCAGUUUUACGUCAAACCAAACAGCCCCUAAAUCACAAGGGGGAAAGUGCAACUUUUCGACUACAGAGUGACAAAGUGAACAGGAGAUAAACCACAAGGGGAUAAUUUGAAAUUUAUGCUAAUUAAAUUACCAUGCUUGCUUCUUAGCUGAUCAAACCAUAAUUUUUAUAUAUAAAAAUUUAAGUAAAAACAUCAAAUACCAUCACUAUGGUUUCGCACUUUCUCACUUUAGUAUUCUGUGGUUUAAAAUGUAUAUUACUUUCUUACCUUGUUGUUUUAUUUUUCUCUUUCUAUUAUCCCCCGCUAAUUUUUUUCGUUAAAUCAGUGACAAAGUUAAAACUAAAGGGUACUAAAGUAAAUAUUCGAUAAACUAUAGAUGGGUAUCUGAAGUUUUCUGUAUAUGAUUUAACGAAAAAUUAACGAAGGGGCCGAUAAAAAAAGAAAAUAAAAUCAUAGAAUACUAAAUUAAUACACUUUAAAUUCUAAAAUAUUAAAGUGAAAAAGUGCGAAGCCGCAGGAGUGAUAUUUAAAGUUUACCCAAAAUAUAAAAAAUAGUAGCUAAAAUAUUGAAGUGUGAAACAGGGACUAUUCAAUAUUCAUGGUGUUUACACAACCAAUAGAAACGGUGCACGCGAAUAAGUUUCGACCAAUCACCAACCGCGGAUACACUCAAUCGCGGAGUAAAGUAUGGUAAAUCGUUACCGCUCCGUUGACCCAUCUCAACCGUCCAUUUCGUUCGCCUCCGCUCUAUUGCUUACACGUGUCACUUCUCCUGGGGGUAAGUUCACCUCGUACGUCUCCGCGAUUAACCACACCGCUCGCUCCUUCUCCUUCGGGAGAGAAGAGACGAGACGAGGCGCUUCUCUGAGAGAGAGAGAGAGAGAGAGAAGGGGAAUUAGGGUUUUGAGGAGUCGCCCAUGGCCCCUCCCGUGGAGAUCUCCGGCGCGGCGGCGGAGGCGGCAGCGGCGGUGGAGGAGGGGGCGGUGGUCGAGGAGGCGGAGGCGGCGGUGGAGGAGGCGGCUGCAGCGGCAGCGGCGGCGGAGGAGGUCGCCGCCACCGCCGCGGAUAAGGGCGGCGGCGGCGACGUCGCGGUAAGAGGGGAUCGACCUAUCUCCACCGUCCUCAUCGUCAUAGGUAGUGCGAAAACCUGUUGACCUCUGUGUUUGUUCUAGGGUUUCUAGGGUUUUUUAGGGAUCUUUGGUUUGUAGAGGAAGGGUUUGUGACUGAAUCGUGGUGCUUUGAUUGGUAGCGAUGCAGACGGAGGCGCUCCCGUUGGUCAACAAGUUCCGGCUCACCGAAGACACCGGUCAAUCCCUGUGAGUGUGUCUUGCUUUGUUGUUUUUGUUGUUUGUUUGGUGGAAAUUAGGGUUUGGGUCGGGUGUUGAGGAAUGGUGCCUGCGUUGUGUUUGAUAUUUUGGUUAAUUGGGAAAGAAUAGGAAUUUAGAUCUCUAACUUUGAUAUUGCAUUGAAUUAUUUGACAUUGUAUCAGUCCAUUUGAGCUGUUUUGCAAUGGGCCGAUGGCCGAUGGUGUAUAACAUGAACUAUCUUGUUGGCAAGUGAUUCAAAAUUGUAAAUUUUGCCUAUACAAAUUUCAAAUCUUACUCUGAUCAUGCUAGAGAACAAGAUUCUACUCGAGAAGCAAAAGCUAGAUGUGUGGAAAAAAACAAAGGAGUCUAAAGCUUAUGGCUACAACUUGAAGCCAACAUGAGCUUUUGGGCUGUGCAAGUCGAAAGUCCAAUUUGAAGCUUCUGAAGCUAGCUUUUGGCUAGCUGCCGUGUAUUGUAAUAUGAAGUUGCUUUAUCUUAUUUCAACACCUUCUCUUAACCGACACUUUUGCAGAAUCUCCAGCCAGGCCAAACAAGCCUUUAGUUUAUAAGUACCUAAAGAAGAAAAGCAUUAACAAUGCAUACAAUAUUCAGCUUGGUAUUGACGAAUGCCAGUGAUGUAAGCCGAUUUGAAUUAUAUAGCAUGUCCUAGGGUUCUAGGAUCUGGCAGAUGCAUUUUUCUUAUCCUUAUUUGCCAAACACAAUAAAUUGUCUAUAUCCAACUGUUGUUUUCUACAUGCAUUUCAGAAAGCUAUUUUGGUGUCAUUCUUAUAUGUUAUUCUUCUAACUUAUGAAGGUUCUUACAUUUGUCUUGUUUAGGUCCAAUUAUGAUUGUUUAACUUAUAUAUUUAUCAUUAGUUCUGUUAUCUAACUCCUUCCACUACUUGAUAAAUAAACAGAUUUCCCAAAGGUGUCCCAUGGGUCAGAUAUCAUGGUAAAUACAAAGACCUCUACAUCAAUCUGGUAUGGCCAGGGAAAGAUUCCGUUCUUGGUAAGAUUACUUGGUUGAAUUAUAUUCCUGUUAGUGGCGUUAUAACAUUGUUAUAAUUGUCAUUGGCGUUGUUUAAUUAUUUUGUUCUUUCAUACUGUCAGCCAUGUUUAUAGUUUUAUGACAUGUGAAGUGCAUUUUUGUGUAUGCUAAUUGUAAUGGUUUCCCUAAAAGUUCUCAUUAAGCAUCUGCACUUCCAGGAGUCGACAGUGUUGGUACAGUUUCAGCAUCUCUCGUGACAUAUGCUUCCGUCCAAGCAUUCAAGCCGGACCUUAUCAUUAACGCAGGCACUGCUGGUGGCUUUAAGGUCUGAUUAUUCCUUAUCACUACCUGUUGUAUAUUUUAUCAUCAUCUGGAAUCCUUUGUUGCUAAUAUGCCAUUCAAAUUCUAUGAUAUCAAUGACUACCAUAUUCAUAAGUUGAGAAUCACUAGAUUAGUGCAACAAAUGGUAUAUGUGUCCCUAUUUCUUCGACUUUUUUUUGUAGAGCAUUACUGUUUAGUGUGUAUAGAUCCUCGAUGUGAUUCUAUCUAUCAAUACUUUAUAUUUUGAUUGAUACAACUAUUUGACAAGUUCAAUUCUUGAUAUUUCAGGCCAAAGGAGCGUGUGUAGGUGAUGUCUACAUUGCAUCUGAUGUUGCUUUCCAUGACAGAAGGAUACCAAUACCUGUGAGUUUUUUUUUCUUAAUUACUUAUUUUAUUUCAUUACAAUUUAGGGACUGUAUUAUUGGUAUCUAUUUUCCUCACGAAAUUAUAAUGCAUUGAUAUACUUGGCCUGCGAGCCUUGUAGUUUCUUAUGUUUCCAGUUGUUUAUCAGAGUCUAUUUGUCUUCAUUUUAUAUAUUUACAUAUUUGCACUCUAUUAAAUUAUCCUCAAUUAUAAUGAUCUUUAAGGAUGCAGUGUUUAAUCAUCAUUCGUCAAGUCUAUUUCUCUCUGUUCUGGGAUUAAUGGCUCGGAAGUGAAUCUUUGUUAUGAUCACUCUUGGAUCCUAGUCCGAUGUGUAUUUACAGUCUUUUUCUUAUUGGAUUGGAAUUAUUUACAUAUUAGUCUAGGAAAGAUAUUUCAUUUAAGAUAUAUACUAGAUAAAGAAUAUCUUUUAUUUUAUCCUAUUUUUAUUUAGUUUCCUUAUCAUAUUAGCAUAUUAUAAUGAUUUUAAGCCUAUAAAUAAGAGGCUCUUCUCUUUUGUAAGGAAUGGUCAAUUGAAGUGAGUUUGUUUUAACGACAUCUAGCUUAGGGUAAGUUAGAAGAGGAGGUCCCUCCUUGGAGUAGAAAGGCGUCCAAUAGAGACGUUAAAUCCAUCUAUCGAUAUCAAAGCUAGAGUUAGGAGCAGGAGAUCCUAAAAAUCUCAGUCAUUUCUUGAAUUGUUUGAAACUUGAAGGGGGGAAAACAAAACUAUAACAAGGACCAAUUUUAUGAGAAAUAGGUAAUGAUUUUGUUGUAGAAAAGAUUAACAAGUUACUUUUGGCCCUUCACCAGAAUGUUUAGUAAGUUAUUCUUCAAGUUUCAUGAUCCUAUAUCCCAACUGAAAAGAUUAACCAGUUAUAGUUCAAGUUUCAUUAUCCUAUAUUCUUAUGGAGCUUCCACAUGCAUACCCAAUGUUGGACUAUAAAAAUACCAGAUAUUGGUCCUUUUGAGUACUAUUGUGUUUCUGUUUAUAGGUUUUUUAUAAUUACUAUUGUGUUUCUGUUUAACCUGUAGGAUUUAACUAUCCUUAUGGCUGAUCAACAUGGCAAAAGAUGAAUACUGUGUGAAUUUCUCGUUUUAAGUCUUAACUUGUGAUGAUGCUGAUGCAGGUUUUUGACCUGUAUGGAAUUGGAGCUCGACCAACCUUCUCCACUCCUAAUCUUCUAAAAGAACUCAACUUGAAGGUAAUUUACACUCUGCAACAUACAAUGUUCUAUGAAUACUGAAGAUUUACAGGUAGAUAUAUGUAUCCUUCACAAAUUAUGCAUGUUAUGAGAUUUGAAUGAAAAUAGUUAAGAAUAAAUUAAGAUUGAUAUAUUUUACUAGCUUGUCAGUGGCAUAUUAAAAAUUAUAAUAUGACACACCACUUCCCAGGGAGUCACCUAUCCUAGGACUAUUCUAAUUCUAGCACACUUAACUCUUUUAACGUCUUGGGCCUAGCCACCGUCCAAAAAUGCUGUAGCCGGAUUAAGAGUUUUAGCCAUAUUAUAUUUUAUAUAUUGGACUACCUUGGGGUCUCACAUAUAAUAUUGCAAUCGGUCAAAUAAGAAAUAAGUGAAUAGGUUUCAGAAUUAUCUGGCAGAAGAUGAUUUGAUUUUGGCAUAUUUUAGAGGGAUUAUUAUUUUCCAAACUGCCGAGCAUGUGAUUGCCAAAUUUUAACUGAAUUGUUUGAAAUUGCCCUUUUUGUUCAUUCCAUAUCUACGUUGUCGGCUUAUUCAUUUAUUUUGAAUUUGUAAAGAUGCUGUUUUAAUGAGAAAGAUUUAAAAGCCAUCUAUUUUAUUUUUACUUGAAAAUGUGAUUUUUGUUUUCAUUUAGAUUUUUUUUUUUUAACAAAUUGCUAACUUCUCUGUAU
rnacentral:lncRNA from 1 species